AGGGGGAGGGUGGAUGAAAUCAUAAUUAUACAUAAUUAGAAUUGUAUAUAUUAGGAUCUAUAUUAUUUAGCAAGAUUUGUUUCCUUAAAUAGGUUUACUGAUUUGUUUCCUUAGAAUUAGAUUUCUAGCUGUUAUAGCUAUGAUUUUGUGGGAUUUGAUUUAUUCCCCUGUAAUAUAUUUAAACAGGAGUAAUUCUCAUCAAUAAAACAUACAUAAAUUAUUCAUCAUAGUCUGUGUAAUUACAUUAACCAUUAAUUAUCCGUAAGUAAUUUUACUUAAGAAGAGAACAGAGUAUAAGAAAAUUCUAAUUUUGAUUCUUUUGUCUAAUCUUUAUUAGAAUAUAAUUAUUUCAAGAAGAGCUUUUGAAAACACUUUAUUACAUAAAUUAAGUUUUAAUAAAGAGUAACCAUGUGUUUAAGAAACUUAUAUUUUAAAUGGGAUGUCACAAAUCAUGACUUCAUAGGGUACAAUUUAUUUUUAUUUUUUUUCAGAGGAUAGUUUAUAAAGAGAAAUUAAAUUAAGGUGAAGUAAAAAAAUUAAAAUUCUUUCCUGAUCUAUUUUAAGAUCUCCUGUGCUCUUCUAAAAAUCUUGUGCCAUGAUAACUCGAAAAAACAAAAUGAUUGAAGUUCGAGAUAUAAUUAAUAAAGGGUAUAAAGCUCCAAUAUAUUUCAGUUAACAUAUUAUAUCUUAGUUUAUGUAAUUUAAUUCGAAUGAAAGAAUAUAAUAGUGAAGAGGUCAAUUUGACAAUUUCUUGAUCAAGUAGUAUGUAUCGUCUUAUUAAUGACUAGCUUGUAGCUAGCAAAUGCAAUGUUUAUUAAUCGAGUCAAAAUAAAACAGUAAAAAGGGUGCAAACUGCGCAAUGGAGAAAAACAAAUAACCACGGUAAUACUCUAGACAAAUCUUACGUCAACAAAGUACAAGAGAAAUACUGAGUUUGUAAGGGAUGAUCAACACUUUAAUUGGCCAGACGCAUUUUAAGGUGUAUUGACGCCCCAAAAACAAAAUUAUGUGGGUCUUGUUAAGGCCUAAAGAGGAUAACAUCUUGUCAGGUCUGGGUUAGGUCAUAAUAGACGGUAUCAGAACGGCUUCGUGUGUCCUCUUAAACGAUGGUGAGACAAACCUCAGCAAUGACUCUCUCUUGAACGAUGGUGAGACAAACCUCAACAAGGAUGUUGAGUCCCUAAGGGGAGUGUAUGUAGCACCCUGAGCAAAUCACAUGUCGAGAGAUGCUAUGUUUGUAAGGGAUGAUCCGCACGAGAUAGAUGUUGGAUUUGUAAGAGAUAAUCCACACUUUAAUUGACAAAGACGUGUUUGGGAGUGUGUGGUCACUCCAGAAACAAAAACCGUGCAGGUCUUGUUAAGGCUCAAAGCAGACAAAUUUGGCACAUCUAGCUUGGAUCAUAACAGCUACAAAAUGGUGCAAGUCUUAUUAAGGUUUAAAGUGGACAAUAUCUUGUCACGUCUGACUUGGAUCAUGACAGCCGUUGUUGGAGCUGCUAUUAGUGGGCUUCUUGCGUGUGAAGUGAUCCUAUAUAUAGUUCACGAUGGUUGAAGUAGCGUUGGAGUAUAGAUAAAAGCUAUAAAGAUUACAAAGCUACAAUUUUCAAAUAGUGUUGGAAUAUAUUCAUCAAUCUUAUAUAUGCAAGUCAUUUUCAACUGAUUAAGUGCAUUAUAUUCAAUACCAAUUAGCUUGUUAAUUUCUGAUGAAGACUCUCUAAGUCAUGGAGGUUUUGGUGUGGUAAUCAAAAUAAAAGAUCGGUUUUAACAUGAAAUGGAUAUAUUUAUAUAUCUCUGACUUAUGAAAUGAUUUAAUAUGGUAAAAUAAAUAAUGAUCAAAUAUGGUAAAAUCUCCAGUACGAAGUAGUUUAUAUAGGCCAGGAUGAAUUAGUUAACGUAAAAAGUGGAUUUCGAAUACCAAAGAGCAUUAUUCAUGUUCAAGUAAGUUUUUAACAACACAAUUGUGACUGCGACAACUGUCUGGGGUCCGGUAAUUUCUUAGUCCUCAAUUGGUGCUUUUGGAUUCAGGAGUCACUCUUACUUUUAGGGUAAACUGAAGAUUGUAGUAGAGGAUACACACCAAAAAAAAGAAAACCACCAUUCAAUUCAUGAGGUUCACCAAGUGGAAUUCGUAACUCUCUGGGUGAGGAGAUUCGGUGAUGUUCCAAGCAUUAGCAAUGACAUCUUUUAUAUUUUGACAUUAAGCUUCCAAAGUUAAAAUUAUUUCAAAAUUUGUGGAAACUGUUUUAGGCAGAAGCUUCCUUUGGCAACUAAGGAAUGGUACCAAAACAUAGUUUCCUCCAACAGUUGAAUUCAUGUUUAGUCUCAACAUUGCCGAAAAAGUUCUACAACAAAGUUGAAGAGGGUGGCAUUGUUAUGAAAGCCAAAAGCUUCUGCUUUUGUGAUCAAAGGCAUUUUGGCUACACUUAAUGGUGAGACUAGUAGUACACUUCUACAGACAGAUUUGGUCAUAUUGGCUACAGGUUCUGGGUGAUAAGAAACUCAAAGACACUUUUGUGUCCCAAACUUUUCAAGAUUACAUAGCAGGCCCCAAGCUCGCCAAAUGAAACACUGACACACUGCAGGUAAUUAGCAGAUUAUUGAUAUUAUCUUAACUUAUAAAAGUAAUACAAAAGCUGUGUUUGUACAUUUUUUUUUGUAUUUUGCUGCCAAAGUCUUAAAUAGACAAGCAAAGACGUGGGUUUUUCUUGUCACAAUUGAUUGGCUGCCGAAGUCUCUACCUCAUACCCACUACUUCUGAAUCUCAAAAUUGUUUUUCUGAAAAAUGUUGAAUUCUAGAAAAGCAAUUAAUAGGAUUCAUAUUUCAUGGGAGUAACACUUGCUAAAGUUUAAGAGAAAUUCACACACUCAAGGUAUCAGCAAAAGAUAUUUCCACCCAAUAUGCACAAAACGGAAUAGGAUCCUCUCCUGAUAUAUGAUCAGAUCAGGAGAGGACCCUGAUCCGCACAAAACAUAUUCGAGGAACCCUUGACUCUUUUAAAAUAUCUUAUGAGACUAAAAGAGAGAGUUCACAACAAGAGUAAUCACAUUAUAUCUUCUUAUAGUUUAACUACACAUAUCUCAUUUGAAAUGAUUAUGGAAGAUUUCUGCUUUUAGAUUUCCGCGAAAGAAUUGAUUGUCUUGAAGCCAUGGUUCUCUGGAAGAGGUCCAUUUCCUGGCCGGAUAGAAAUUACCACCUCCAAACCUAAAUGAUCGAACAAAACCGAAAUAAAUAUCAACAUCUGAGUGAUAAAAUGAACAUGAAACUACCUUCUCUCUAAGGACUAAAGCUAGAAGUUCAUAGGGAUUGCAAAAGUACCCUAAAGUGGAAAAGAAAGGCUGCUUUCAUGACAGCAUUAUGUAAGACUGUUUUCAAAAUGGUUGCUUACAUGAUAGGAACGACUUUUGAUAAAGUUUAAUUAAUAUCAUGACUCAAAAUUCAAAAGGAGGAUAAAUUAAAAACAGUGCAUCUUGACUUCUUAAUUAUUUAAGUUGCUUAGGUAUGUGUACAGUGCAAACCUUUCAAUGACUGUGCACCUGCAUCCAACCAUCUAAAAUAACAAAUAACUCCUUACCCGCAGCUUUUGCAGCUGUAGCUUCUUGAUAUACAUCUGUCACAAAUAAGAUCUCGGAUGGCUUAUCAACUCCCAAUGAGUUUGUGAUUUCGACAUAACUUGGUGUUUCUCUUUUGUUCCUGCAACCAAGAUAAGGAGAAUUUAGUUUUGCUCAAAAAUUAGGAGACAGCAAGAAAGUUAAGAGAAAGAAGUGCCAACCCCACUGCAGUGUCGAAAAAGCCAGAUAAAUAUUUUCUUAAAUCCCCAUAAUUUGAAUUUCCAAAAAUAAGCCUUUGUGCCAGCCUGCUACCACUAGAAUAUAUGUACACCUGUCACCAAGUAGAGAAUAACAUUGCUGGUGAAGCUUCUAUGCAUGCUCAAACACUAAGCACUAUCUUGCCAAUAGAAUUUAAAAUGUAUUCAUGGAAUCGUAUAACUCUAUGGCAAGAAGAAUGAUGACUGCUUCACGACCUAAAAGCUAAAGCUUUUAGCUUGAUCAUAUCAAGAAAAGUUUUACUGAAAGUGGUCUAAACAGUCUAGAACUGACAGUUAGUUGUAUUUAUGAUAUUGGUAUAUCGUACAUGUAACACAAACAUUGACAUGGUUAUGUUAGUAAAAAAAAUACCAGAAGCCUUCUGGUAGUAUAUAUCACACAACAUUCAACAGAAAUAACAUGAUAGCACACACAACGAGAUGGUAAACACAAAAUUGAGAGCCAUAUCUGCAAGAAAAUGAGAAAGAAAAACUAAAAACCUUUGUUCCCAAAGAAUGCCACUUUUCAAGGGCUUCUGGUACAUCAUCAAAAACUUCUCCCUCCAAUUCAUUACUCUCAAAUCCAGUUCUCCAUAUAUGACCCUGCAUAAAUAAUUACCAUAUAUGAAAGCCAAGCUCCACAGCAAAAAUAUUUUUUCUCUGAAUCAUAUUUUGCUUACUUGCAAUUGUUUUAGAGCAGUGAUUUUUCGAUCUGCCUUUAUCAUUGCAUCCACAUUAGCAACUAAAGCUGCUAUUACCUCCUCUUUCCCAGCAUCACCGGGAGGGAUAGGUACAGCACCAGCGACUCCUUGUUUCAGGUCAUCUUCAACCUGCAACAAGCAUUUUGAAAUGAUGAGGCAGAAAAGAUAUGGAUAUUCCAAAAGAGAAUCCAGAUAUGGAUGUUUCACAAGUACUAUAAUCCACUGAAUUUGGUGUUUUUGGUGGGGGUGGGGGGGAAGAACUUACUUGAGAGCGCAACAACUUGAUAUCAUCUUGAGUUUCUGCAGUAUCAUAUGUCACAGACAAAUGCUUCCCAACAUUGUCACGAGCAUAUGGAAAGAGAACCUCAGAAACAAAUGAUAUGGGAGUGGUAGUCCCUUCAAUGUCAAGUACAAUGCAACGCUGCAACCAUAUCAAGAAUUAAAAAGUAUUUCUGGCAAUGUAAAGUAUAAUUCUAAAUUUCUUGAAUUGGCCAACCCCAAAGACAUGGACAGUCUUCAGAGCCAGUCUGAUUUUUACUUCUAGAAGAGAAGAAGAGUUAUCGAUGAGUCCAAAACCUCGAGAGGCCUCUUAAAAGUUAGAGAAGGUAAAAUUCUUACUGGGAAUAGGCCAGAACCAUAAUCUGAGCCUUCAGUCACUGCUUUUGCAGAUGUAUUUACAUUGCCAUUGCUUCCUAAACCUAACUUGAAAUUACGAGUUGGACCAUGGUUUGGAGUAGACCAGUCCAGGCCCAGUUGAUGGAGUUUGAUAGCAGCAUCAAAGAGAUAGUGAUAACAUUCAGCCUGAAGAAUAUGCAACCAAGUAAGAGAAAGAAAGAAUACACAUGUUAUAUUUCUAUAACUUAUUUAUGGACAUGGGAAAUCAAGUUACUACUUUCACCAUAAAGAAUACAUCAAUAAAUAUGCUCAAGAAGGUAAGAGGGAUGGACUGCUUAUGAGGAAGUCAAAACACCUACCAUUAGCAAUAAAGAAAGCCUUGAUCAUUCUGAACAUUAAAUGCCUACACUUUUUAAGAAAUUGAUGUUUCAUGUACGCAAACAAAGCUGUUACAGCCAAUGUUCCUUCUAGAAGGGAAAUAUUAGAGUAUAGAGUUGAACAAGUUAAAAGUACAGAGGCAAGAAGUGGGUAAUUGUAAUACUCAAAGGAAUCUUCUCAGUUUUUGGACACACUCAACGAAAAGUUUAAUGUGAUUAUUAACACAGGAAAAGGUUGAUGGCCUAACUUUGUCAUCUAUAGAUGAAAGUAAACUUCAUAGAAAAACUGACAGAAGGGAAAAAGAAAAAUGAACAAAUAAAAUCCUGGUAAAAUUUAGCACAAAAGAUCAAUUUGCUUCAAAUCCAUUCAUAAAUAUUGGAAACCUGAGUUUUAGCAUUGAUCCAGGAGUCUCCCCAAACAUAUAUGCCAUGAUUACGAACAAGCACAGCUGUUGCUUUUGGAUAGGCAUCUAUCUGGAAAACCAGAAAGGGAAAUCCGAUCAGUCUAUGCAAAGUUUUACAUGGAAAUGAAGAAUAUUGUUGGAAAAAUAAUUAAAAGCAAACCAACUCAUAGUGAGGGCAGGUUUCUCUGCGAUCAACUAAAGAUAUUCUCACAGAAGAAACAAUCUUAUUGACCAGUGAGAUGCGCAGACUAUAUAUAUUGAUAUUUGCCCACACAUAUCAAGUACAAUGAGAAAGAAAUGUCAGAAAGGUUACUAAGGUAACCAUUUAUUGUAAAACCAAUUGCCUAAGAAGCCAUCAUAGGAUAGGGCCACUGACAGGUUCCAAUCCAUAGGAAAACUAAACGUCCCUAUUUGCAGUGUCAUGUAAACUCAAUAUAUAAGAUGAGAGAUUAUUGUUAUAAUCACGGUGCAGGACUAAAUGUAACAAACUAAGCAUACCGCUUUAGCAAGAGAAUCAGUGAGCUCAUUUUCAUAAGCUGUGUUCUCUAUAAUUGGAACAACGAGUUCAUCAUAGUAACCAUGCCCUUUGAUUCCUUUUAUCAUCUCCAUGUGAGUUAUCUGUAGGUUGCAAAAGGCACAAGCAAAUCAAAACAUAAAAGAGGCAACAUUAUGAAUUGAUGAAUGCAUUUAUGUAUGCUAAAGAGUGUAAUCACACAUCAAUUUAUGAUCUGGUCUCUCCUAGCACAGGAACAGCUCCUUCUUAAGACGCUUAACAUCACCAUCUUUUUAAGUACUUUAUCAGAACCAUUAGUUGAUUCUUUGGAAAUACAGUGAUGGCAUAAACCUGAGCUGAUAUCAUUGAGAUUAAUCAGUGUACUACUGAGAAAGUAAAAUAUGCGUGUCAAAAGUACCAUAUUCUGGACAAUGUCCUCACAUAUGUGGAUAACUCAUGCUUUCUAACCCUUUCACAAAGGAUUCCACAAGUUCCUCAACAAGACAGUUCAUCAUCAAAAACAAACCUUGCCAAACAACAUCAGAAGGGAAGAGUUGNNNNNNNNNNNNNNNNNNNNNNNNNNNNNNNNNNNNNNNNNNNNNNNNNNNNNNNNNNNNNNNNNNNNNNNNNNNNNNNNNNNNNNNNNNNNNNNNNNNNNNNNNNNNNNNNNNNNNNNNNNNNNNNNNNNNNNNNNNNNNNNNNNNNNNNNNNNNNNNNNNNNNNNNNNNNNNNNNNNNNNNNNNNNNNNNNNNNNNNNNNNNGCAGGGAUUGUAGGAAAAGAGAACAUAAAGAUGCUACAAUGAAGAAAGGAACAUGAGGGGAAAAAAUGCAGAAAAAGAAAAUAGAAAAUUGUACAGACUUACACGAAAUUCUUUUGACAUUGGAUUGAUCAUUGUCACAAGGCAAGAUUCUAUGCCAUGGCUGUGGAUAACAGCCCCUGCAUCACGUUUCUCGUAUGCCUGGAUAACAAAGAAAACAAGUGCUAUUGCCACUUUAUAAGGAAAUUAAAUAACCCAAACAGAAAUAUGAAGAAAGGCUAUCCUAAUGAAAAUAAAGCAACUAUAAUUGACGAAAUACAUAUUUACUAAGCAUACUUCCCAUAACUAAGGUCUUUAUAAAGAUUGAGAAAAAGUCAUACACAAACUGGGCAUUAAAUGAUUGUUUUAACUAAACCAGGACAAAUACCUAUGGUUUAGUCUGCAUGUUCUUUUUCUUCUUUUUCCUCACUGAAUCACCAAUACAAAUGCAUGGAAGGUAAACGAGGAUAUUUCAAAUGCCUCAAACGAGACAACAACUUAAAGUUACUAGGUUUCUUAACUAUUCAAGUAAGUCAAGCAAUCAUUCGUUAAUUGGAGCACAAAGAAACUGCAGAUUAGAGGAUUGUGUACGACCAUUUAGCAUAAACUAUUUUUCACUCUAGGAUCAUGAUGAUGACGUGUUCAUCAAACAUCAGAUAAAAUCAGUGCUCAUUUACCAUAAAUUUUCACACUUCAAGUGAAGGCGGAGCAAAAGGCUUAAACAAUAGCUUAUGCUCCCAUUAUCAUCACAAUAAUCAAAUACAAAUAGGAGACACUAAUGUGUGCGCAUCAAAUUACACCAAUAGAAUGGCCCUAUUCAAGUUUAAAUUGCUUUCACAGCAAAUCAAGCUUCGUACUGGCCUAUUAAUAUUGAAAUGAAGACGAAGAUUAACUAAUACCUUCAUGAAAAGAGGAGCACAAUCUGAACACUUGGGAGGCUUAUGUGGGUACGGUUUUGGAGAUGGUGAAGACAACAUAGUCCCAUUUCCAGAUAACACAUACAUGUCCUCUGGUUCCAUUCUCUCCUUCUGCACACCUAUUCACAUGCCAAUCCCAACACACAGUGGGAUUAAAUUGUGUAACAAAAGAUUUAAAAAAAGAGGAAAUACACAUAGAGCUGAAUAGACCAAAUGGCAAAAGUAAGAAUUGAGCUAUAGGAUUUAACUUAUCAAGAACACAGAAUGUCAGAAUCACACAGCUGGGCUAAAAAUAAAGCAUACCCAGAUAUCAAAGACCUACCCAGGUAUUAAGUCAAGAAAAGGAAAAACAAAAAAAAUAAGAUAACGAGGAAUGAAGCAUGCACAAGUAAAAUGGCUCAAAAGAAAUACCCAAGAAACCAAUCAAAUAGCUCAAAUGAAUACAAGAAAUACAUAGUAACAGACAAAUAACCAAAUGAACAUCGCUAAGCAGUACAAAGUAAAUCAAAAAUAUAAACUUGACCAACUGAAGUUAAUUAAAAAAAAAAAAAACUUUGACUAGCUAAAGUAAAUCAAAAUACAAACUUUCACCAACCCAACUCUAAAAACACAAAAUUGAUGCAUCAAAUAAAAAUAUACCCAGAAAGCAAUACAAGUAAAAGGGUAUGAAAAGAGUGAGUAAAGGGUAGAGAGUAGAGACCAGAAGGUGACAUGAGGAUGAGCUGUUGAGGUUUAGGGAUGGAGUCAUCAUGGACCUUGAUGGUGAUGCUGCCACCUGUCCCAGAAACCCAUCCAAGGGUGUAGAAAUGACGGCAGAGCUCUGAUAUCAACACCCUCGUCUCCUUCACUGCUCUGCCCUCCAAAUAAGCCUGCGUAUGCGUUGCUGCUGCUGCUCCUCCUCCUCCGUUCACUGCCAACGUUGCCAUUUGCUUUGCUCUUGAUAGGAAGCUGUUCUCUUUGAGAGCUUUUUCAAUUGUAAUGACUACUAAUGGCAAGUGAUUGAUGAUGAAUCUAAUUCUGUUUCUGUUCUAUAAAAAUAUCUUUUUGUUAGAAAAGAGACACUGGCGAUUUUUUUGACUGAAACUGUUUGUUUGAUUCUGUUAAGGUUUAAAAAAAUAAAACAAAAAUGCACAUUUAUUGCGAUGAAAGUUAUUUUCUGAUUGCGGUAACAACGUCCAAUCCUUAAUCUUUAUGAUUUACCAAAUUAUGAUAAAUGCUGUCCAUAUGUGUCAAAUAGGUCCCUAACCAACAACCAUUAACCAAGUCCCAUCCAAAAAUUUCAGAUGAUAUAUUCCAAACCUCUUUGAAUUAAUUAAAUGUAUAAAUUCAAGUUCAAAAUUAAUUUUAAAAUCACACACAUAUUUCUUUCAUUUAUAAUUUAUAAGCCUAGUUGCUUGACUCGGAAUCCAUUAAAAUAAGGCCUAAUAUCUAAUUUAAAAUUUGAUCUAGUUUAGUCCAAAUGUGUAACUCAAUAUUAAAAAUUGAUUUAAAUUAAAUUUAUCACUAAAAAUUAAAAUAGAAAAUAUCCAAAAUUAUGUAUUUGCUCUUCAAUAUAUAAGAUUUCAGUGUUUUUUAAAAAUUUGGUUUCUCAAGGUGCAAUCAUAAAUUUUGCCCGGGCCUGCCUAAGUUACAUAGCUGCCCUGUAAAUUUAUUUUUAGCCCCCUAUACUCUAUAUUAUUUAUAAUUUAUUCAUAAAUAUUAUAAAACUUUUUGAAUUUUAAAAUUUCGUAACACCCCUUGUACUCUGUUUUAUUUUAUUGAAACUCUAGAGUACUAAUUCACCCCCUAUAAUUUUAAAUUCCAAAAACAACCUCUAUUUAAUUAAAAAAAUAUAAUAAUUAUUAAAUGAAUUAUAAUUAUAAUAAAAUAAUAAUUUUAUUAUAAUUAUAAAUCUGCUGUACAGAUCAAUCUCUCUUACCUGUUUCUCCAGGAUAAACACACAUCCAAAUUCCAAUCAAUUAUCGAAUUACUUUUUAAAGGCAAAAAAUAAAAACAGAGAAGUAGAGGAUAAGAUAGUUUAAUUACAAUUCGAAGUAAAUAAUAUAAAAUAAAAUUACAAAAAACUCUCAGCUUCGAGGCAUUAUUGUUGUUCAUGGUUAGAGUUUUGAUAAUAUUUAAAUUAAAAUAAUAUUUACAAAGUAUGAGCAAAAGAAACUUAGGCUUAACGUUUAAACAUUUGAAAUAAAAUUAAAGGAAAAAAUAAAUAAACGUUUUACUCAUUUUGCAGGCUCCAGCUAUCUAGUCUGGCUGUUACAGAAUGCACAUCAGAAGCUCUACAAUUGGUAAAUAAUUUAAGCCAUGCAUCUGCACACAAUUAAAACUAGAUCCUCCACUCCUUCCUGCUAAACCACUUGUUACAACUUCACAAAAUAGUUACUUCAUUAAAUGUUCAACUGAGCAGCCGAUCCGAAAUCAAAUUAGCACUUCCCGAACAUAAAUUCAUCAAGUGAGUGAGAGAUUUUAUCUUGAGGAAAUUGUUUCGUUCAGCAAGUGAGUGAGAGACUUUUUGCUUGCGUAUGAGUAAUCUUUGCCAGCAUGUUAUCUUGUUAUUCAGACUUUAACAUGGCAUUCUCUGUUUUCUGAUCGUUUUUUCCUUUAAAAAGAUAGUUAAAAUACUUUUUGUCUUGCAUAUCCACAGAAUGGUUGCCGCAAGAAGGGGCCUAUGGUUCAGUCUUUUAGUAUGUGCACUCAUGUUUCUGAAAGCUCAAGGCUUUAGUGUACCAAUCACCUAUGUUGAGAAUGGUGUAGUGGAAGGAGCUGGUAGAUAAGUGCACUCAUAUUCUUCAUUUUAUGAUUUUUCGUUAUUGUGCACUAUAGUUUGUUUAAUGUUUGAUAUGUUUUGCAGUUUGCUUGGACUGUAGUCCGCCUACUUACCAUUUUGAUAAGGGGUUUGGUGCCGGGAUUAACAAUUGGUUGGUGUUCGUCGAGGUAACUAACGUCCUUCUCUAUCCGCAUAUGUUUGCUAUAGCCGUUCUAACUUUAAUAAUUAUGAAUGAAGAGUAAUCAAUCCAGAAGGUUAUAGCCAUAAAACUUCUGAUGUUUACAUUUGGCAUUGAAUUCAACACAAAGUUUCGAAUACUUUUUUUCUUUAUUCAAUUUGCCUUUGGAUUUGGGUUCCUAGGGAGGAGGCUGGUGCAACGAUGUCACAACUUGUCAUGUUCGUACGAAUACUGGUUGAGGUUCAUCUAAGAAAAUGGGCGAGGAAGAUAAUUUUACUGGGAUACUGAGCAACGAGCAGAAAUAUAACCCGGGUAUGGCCUUUUUGAUUCACUUCGACUUGAUUGAUAUGAGUAAAUAAAUUCCCCUUCCGUUUCCAGAUUUCUACAAUUUGAAUAGAAUCGAGGUUAAAUACUGUGACGGGGCAUCAUUUACUGGAGAUUUGGAGGCUGUCGAUCCAGUAAGUUAAUUUUCCCCAAAAUUUCCAGCUAGACUUAUCUUGUAUACUUAUUUUUUGUUACUUAUUUUUUGGGUCUCUUUUUGGUGGGAUAAUUAAUUAGUUAGUGAUUUAAUCAGGGAACUAACCUUCACUUCAGAGAAGCUAGGGUUUUUCUAGCAGUCAUGAAGGACCUAUUAACGGUUAAAGGAAUGAUAAAUGCUCAAAAUGUAUGAUCUUCGUUUUCUUUUUUCCUUCUAUAAAAUUCUUUUUAUUAGAUUGGUAUGCUUGAUAACUCAUUAGGACUGAUGGCAGGCUAUUCUUUCCGGCUGUUCUGCUGGGGGAUUUGCUUCAAUUUUGUAUUGUGAUAACUUCCGAGCUCUCUUCCCCGUGGGCACUAGAGUAAAAUGCCUCGCAGAUGCUGGUUUUUUUAUAAAUGUGUAAGCUCAUUUUAGACAUUCCAGCUUGUUCUUUAAUCGAACAUUGUGUAAUAGUAGCUUCACUUGUGUUUCUUUCCAAAUUCUAAUUCCUUGGUUUAUUUCAACAGGAAGGAUAUUUCCGAUGCAAGUCACAUUGAGGAGUUUUUCGCUCAAGUGGUUGCGACACAUGUACAUCCUCUCUCUCAUGCAUACACGCAAAGCACAACAUUCUAUGUCUAUCCUACUUAUUUAUUUUGUGUCUAGUAAUAUAUGCCCUGCAUAUCGUCACUCAAGGAUUUUCCCCAUUGAUCGUAGAUUGAAAUAAUUUACCUUUGUUGUUUUAUUUAUCAUUUUUGAUAGGAUAAGAAAAUUCUUUCCUUGAGGAUAAAGUUCUUUUAACUGUGGUUACAGCCCUUGAUUCUUCGCUUAAUCUCAUGUACAGGGAUCAAUUAAGCAUUUGCCAGCAUCCUGCACUAAGAGGUUGAACCCUGCAGGAUUGGUAAGUUUCACCAUUUUAAUGUUUCUACUUUGUAGUCUUCAUCCUUUCAUCUCUGGUCUGACUGUUCCCUUGCUUUUAAAAUGACAGUGUUUCUUCCCGCAAUACGUGGCAGGGCAAGUAAUAACACCGCUAUUUAUUAUCAACUCAGCAUAUGAUAGAUGGCAGGUUAGCACAGUUCUUCUCAUCGUUAUAUAUUGUUGUGAGAUGAUUUUGGAAAUUGCUUAUCAGACUCCUUUUGUCUCAUAAUUAUGGAUUUCCGCGACUGAUAUUCGUAUUCCCAAAAAUAGGAUUCAUACAAUUUACACAAGUCAAUGGAAACUUUUACAUGCAAUUUUCAAAGAUAGGCUUCAAUUCGGCAUAUACGGUUACAUGAAGUUUCACUGGAUUUUCAUUUUUUUUUUUAAAAAAAAAAAAGGAUGUGAGAUCGUUUUUACAGAAAAUUGGAUGCAUAAGCUUAAUGCAAGAAGGUCAUUUGUUGUACGUAUUGUUUUCCAUAAGAAUAUGGCACCUGCCCCAAACGCAUCUUUAGUAAGAGUGAAAUUUAUCUUUUUUAUGUUAUUUCUAAAAGGUUUUCACAUAUAUAUAGUAUAAAUAAAUUCAGGAAUGUGUUUCUCCUUUGUUUCUCAUCCUUUGGAACAUGAUAUAGCUAGAUAAGUCACAUUUUGGUGCCGGAUGAUGCUGAUCCCAACAGCAGUUGGGAAAGCUGCAAAAACAUGCUCACCUUAUCAGCUGCAAACUUUGCAAGGUAAAUGCCAAAAGCCCGGACUACUCUCUACAAAUGCUUUUCAUUUAUUUUUUAUAGUUAAAAGUACUGCUAAAGAACUAUUAAAUUAAGUAAUUUACUCGAUCUUAUCUCGGCGUGUACUUUCAGGUUUCAGGGUGCAAUUCUUAAAUGCAUUGGCUGGACUUGGCAACUCUUCAUCCAGAGGAAUGUUUAUAGACUCUUGUUAUAUUCACUGCCAAACCGUGUAUCAGGAAACUUGGUUAAGAGCUGACUCUCCGGUGCUGGAUAAAACGGUACGAAUGAUUUAUGAUCAUUUUUACUUGUUCCUCAGCAUCUUGAUGUAUUAAUUCCUUUCGAAUGAUUGAAAGUCUGUUCUACAGUCAAUUGCAAAGGCAGUAAGACUGGUAUUACGAUUGAAUUCCCUUCCAAAGGAUUGAUUCCAACCCAUUGCCAGAAAGUAGUAAUUGUCAAAGCUAACGUGCACACAUAGAUGUAGGGGCGACGGGACUCUACGUCUGGAUCUUAUUUCAUCUCGGACCAAAAUGCUACAGUUGCAAAGCUUUUUCCAUUUAUUUUAUAUGCCAAAAUGCACCCCGAAUUGGCAUUACAACGGGAGUUAGCGAGCUUUAAGUUAUACCUUUACUGAAAACUAGUUUUAGCAUAUAUAGUCUAGAAAAAAUGAACUCUAGCUUCUCCAGUACUUGCUUGCUUAAAGUUUUCAGAUAAUUGAAUUAUCUAACUUCAUUAAUAGUACAGAUAAAAUUAAUUUAUAUCAACUCUUGGUUGGAACAUAGAUAUGGAUCCUUUUCAUAUUGGAGUGGCACAUACUGUACACCAAUAACUCAUUGUACCACAUUUACAUAUAAUCUAGUAAGGGCAUGGCUGUCUACCAAAAGUGGUGCCCAAUGACCAAUUACAUGAUACAGUAACUCAGAUCACAUAAACAAUAUGUCCAAUCACUUAAACGUGGUAUCCAAUACUUGACUUUCUGAAUAUUACAUUUGAGCUGAUUUAAGUUUAUUAUAAUAUAAUUUAACAAGGUGAUCCAAUCUAUUAAUCAACCGUAACAAUGCUUGGUUAGUUUUUGCAACCUAUAAUUUAGCAGAAUUGAACAACUGAUGCAUUUAUAUUUAUUAACCAUAUUUAAUUAACUCCUAAAAAGUUUAAAGCACAUUUAUUUCUCUAAGACAAAAAUUUUAUCGGAAACCAUGGCAUAUAUGUAUAUAUAUAAAUCAAAUAAAAGAGAGCUGCAGAAGAAUCACAUUUUAGCUUUUAAUUAGGCAGCAGCCAUGAAGAUCUUCAUCGCAACCAUAACCAUUUUUCUUCUAUCGCUUAUUUCAUCAAGUAGGGCAAAGACGUUAAUUUUAAGCAACCAAAAAGACACGGGCGAACCUGGUUGUGUUAAAUGCCCCAAAAAAUAGCAUGCGUUCACCCGGGAAAUGAGACUUCAAUCGAGUUGCCCAAUAACACAGCGCUGUGUUGGGGAUCAUAUUACAGUGAAUCUGAAUACAGGGAAUCAGAUGGUGUUUAUCUUGGAUAUCGUUGGUCCCGCCGUGUGUAUGAUUCAAGAGAAGACUUUGACAAGUUCAAAGAUAAGAUCAUCGUUAAGAUUAAUGACACAAGUUUUUAUCGUUCAAAUGAAGAGAACAAGGCUUGGGAAGAAAUUCCUUCUGAUUAUUAAAUAUAUAUACACAUAUAUAACCUAAUUAAGUAGUGUAAUUUUGACUUGUACUCCUAAUAAGAAUGAGGAAUUGGAUAAAAAUGCUGCAUGGAAUCUCUAGAUCACAUUUGGGUAAAUAAUAAUAAAGUUAGAUUUUAUUUAUUCUCACUGUUUAAUUUAAUUUUAAGAAUUUUGAAUAAGAAAAUAAAUUAUAAGGAAAUGGUGCAAAAUUCGGUAAAGUUUUUAUUGGGCUAAUUUGAUUUUUGAGUUCAGUUUAAUUUUACUAUGAGUUUGUAGCUUGUAACAUCCUCUUUUAUUAUGAAAAAACUGAAAAAUCAAUCAUAAAAUAAGACCAAAGGGGAAGACUUGUUAAUUGUAGUGGUUAACAAGGGCCCAUUCAAGAGAAGGGUAUGUUGGAUACCCGAGAUUGUGCUAAACAUCAAGAAUGACGAGAGAAUACUGAGAGAAACGAUAGCUUGUCUCUCUUGCCAUUCUAAUAGUUUUUUAUUGUUAAAAUAUAUAUAUAAGGAGAAAACGACAGAAGACAGCCAAUAUCCACAUAAUCCCCACCACUCCAUUACUCUCUCUCCCUCUUUGGACUUUGAUCUUACCUCUCCCAAAUUUCAUCUCCCUCUCUCGACAAUGGAUCCUUUCUUUUCAUAACCGGACAUUCAAUAGUUCAUGAUGAUAUUUCCAUGACAUUCAUCUGCUCUGUAUUAGUAUGAUGCCCUUCCUCAGACAGUUCAACUUAUUUUGGAGGUUCCGCUCUUUGGACCCAUAACACAUUUCAACACCAGUGAAUACUUGAGGGACUAUAUGCUCACAAAGCUUCUCUAUGCUUGCUUGUAGUAUAGUUAUAUUUUUAUUAAUGUCUUUGCUUGUAGCUUGGCAUGUUUCUUUUUCCAAUUGUGCUAAAUCAGGAACCAUUAUCUGCUCUCCAUCAGAGUGGUGGUCCUCCUCACAUAAUUUAAUAGGGUCCAGAGGUUCUUCUGCGACCUCACCAAUUGUGUUAUUUCUGCAGCGUUCAUGUACAUUCUUUCUUAGCUAGUCCUAAUGCUAACAAAUCGAAUUUAGUACAUACUCAUUGGCUGGAGAAUAAUCAGAGAGAGAGAGACGAAAGUCGAGAGAGGGAGAGAGACUGAUGGAGUGAUGGCAUUAUGUGGAUAUGGGCUGUCGUUUUCUCCUAUUUCAUAUGUUUUUAACAAUAAAAAAUUAUUAGAAUGGCGAGAGAGAAGCUGAAACGGCAGCACAAGUUGUCGUUUCUCUCACAUUCUCUUGCCAUUCUAGAUAGUAGAUAGUAAGCAUUUUCCAUUUGCUUAUUUAUGCAAUAAAUAAAAAAGUGAAAAAUAAGUAUUCUCUCAAAAACUCUUUAAAUAAAAAUAAAUUUAUAUUAUUUUAAUUAAACGUUUCUUCUACCAAAAUAAUAGUAGUUAUAACACUUCUCUCUCUUCAAGAAUAAUUAAAAAAUUAAUAAUAUAAUGCUAAAUUAAAUAGUUUCAAAAAACUCUCCAAAUAAUAUUUUUCAAAUGAAAUAGUAUUUUUCUCCCUUAAUAUUGAAUAAAGAGAAAAACAAUCUUAUUUAGAAACCCUUUUAAAACUCUUUUUUUUAUGUGACUAUUGAAAUAAAUAGUAAAAUCUCCAUUAAAAAAUCAUUUAGUAAUGCUGUAAGUUCUAUUACAAUUUAACUUGACAAGGUCAAAAUUUAUAGGCAACCAUAUCAAUUUUGAUCUACAUAUAGAAAAGCCAGGUUUAAAAUAUAAAUUUAAUAAAAUUGUAUAACUGAUCCAUUUACAUUUAUUAACCAUAAUUAUUAACUCCUGAAAAAAAUAAUAACGCACAUUCAUUUCUUUAAGACAAAAAUUUUUAACCCAAAAAAGAAGUUUAAGAUGAUUAUCAAUCAAAUUACUAUAUUGAUAAGCAGGCACGGAAGAUUGAGCCCCACUAAUCUCAAUGCCAAUGGAUUCAUAUCGUUUCAAAGUUACGAGGCACGCUCUGGUCGCAACUGAUAAGCAAAGCCAAGUCGGAUGAUCCAAUGUUAGUGUGUUGAGGGCGAAAUUCCUGAUGCCUUGUCUUUCAAGCCAAUGCCUGAAGGCCACAACUUCCUUGGACCAGCCAGGCUCAAACCCAGCUUGAUCAUUAACUGAGCAUCUACUUUUCGAUCAUUUGUGUGAAAAGCUUGGAGUUGUUUGGAGAGAAAUCCGAGCAAAUUAAAAGCCAUUAUCCCAGCAUCAAAAUUCAAUAUCCAAAAAGCAAGUUCUUUAGAAGGCAAAAACGAGUUCUUUAAAUGGUGACGUGACCAAGAGUUUGAUUUGAUACACAAACACACACGCACGCACGCAUUGAUUCCAUGGAUUAAACAUAAUCAAGUUGUCAAACGAUACUAGCUUUGCAAGUUGCAACUGUGCGGCACUGGUAUGAUCACUUGCAUAUUCUUUAAAGAGUGCUGCUAUUUACCCGAAUUUUCACCCCGAAAUCAAAACGCACUAUUUGCUUUGAGUUAAUCACGUGUCCAUUAUCUUGCUUUAUAUAAAGGAAAGGAAAAAGUUGGGGAAAGAAAAAGCAAAAGCAAAGCUGUUUCUUCACGUGUUUCUUCAGUCAACGUGUGGGCCUAACUAGAAAAUUUGUUGUGUCCAACUGUGGUCCACUUAUUUUACUUUGCUUUGCUAUUUCCUUCCUUCUUUGUUAUUUCCUUCUUUGCUAUUUACUUUGCUUUCAAGAAGAUCUGAAAGAGAAAGAGGAGUUCAUUGCUUUACAAAGUGAAAAACUUUACAUUACAAAACUCGUAAGUAUGGAGAGAAAAAACUCUACAUUUACUAACUAGAGAAGUGGAAAGUGAAAGCAAAGAAGUGGAAAGUGAAGGCAAAAUGAAGCAACACGUGUAGAGAGAAAAAAAGUAAACGGUGUGUUUUGAUUUCGAGGCGCAGAUUCGGGGUAAAUAGCUUUUUCCUUCUUUAAAAGGUACUGACGAGUUCUUUAAAUUGUGACAUGACCAAGAGUUUGAUUUGAUAUAUAUAUAUAUAUAUAUAUAUAGAGAGAGAGAGAGAGAGAGAGAGAGAGAGUAAAUAUAAUCAACAAGUUGUCAAAUGAUACUAGCUUUGCAAGUUGCAACUGUGUGGCAUGAUCACUUGCAUAUAUAGAACCUAGGUAAUGCUAGGAUCCGGUGCACGCAAUUGAUAGAGCUUCUCCUCCAUCUUGCCUCUCCUCUUCUACUCCGAGAUCAGAGUUCUUGAUCUAUGAUCACCCUCUGGUUUCUUUCCACUUGCAUCAAUUGUCGUUGUUCUUGAUCAUCGCGAUGAUCACCUUCCUUCACGUCCCCACCAAUGUUCAAUCCUGACAAUGUUAAGAACAAAAUUAUUAAGAUCAGACACCUUCAUUCUUGCAGCAUUGAAAUCAAACAAAUGAUCGUCUGGCCAGGGGCUGUGGAACUAUCAUCACAAACAUCCACUAAAGACUCUACAAACAAAACUAGGAAAGGGUUCUUCGUUUCUCCUUGAAUUAGAUCAAUGAAUUGAUCAAAGUUUUGAUCAUCAAUGAAGUCAUGUAACUCAAAAGUCAUUGCCAUGCAUCAGAGGAUUUCCGAAUUCAUUCAUUAUUUUGUUAGUGACCUUGGUAAAAAAAUGAUUGUAGAUGAUCAUAUUCUCAGCACAAUAGCAUACAAAACAAAAACAGAAAAACAAACUGUGACUUAUAGCUAGCUUGUGUUUCAACAAGAAUACAAGCACAUCUGGCGAUGUUGAAAUGUUAAUAGGUUAUUUGGUUUGCUAAUGUGAAAAAAAAGAAUCAAAUAUAAAAUAAGACCCAAUGGGCACUGGCCACGACUCAAGCGCAGUGGAAGACAAGUGCCCGUUCAAUAGUAGGCAGCCCAUACGAACAGCAAUUUGCUCGUUUGCUGUCUGCUCUCCUCCUUAAAUAAAGAAUCGGGGAUGAUUGUUUGUCUUUAGGCUUCAUAACCAUACAAGUAGUUUGAAUUGAAAAAUAUACGUACAUAAAUACACACACAUAUUGUUGUCAGUAGUCAGACUGAGUAUUUGUGUUUCUUUGUUUGUAGUUUGAAUCACCAAUUCGGGUCCGAAUAAGUUACAGGUCAUGUAACUUGCGGCCGCACUACAACAUUUCACUAAGCCCCCUAUACUCUGUAUUAUUUACAAUUUAUUCAUAAGUACUAUAAUAACUUGUGGAUUAUAAACUUUCAUUUAGCCCCUUAUACUCUAUUUUAUUUUAUUGAAAUCCCUAGAGUACCAAUUCGCCCUGUAUAAUUUUAAAAUUUCAAAAUAACCUCCAUUUAAUUAAAAAUAUAAUAAUUAUUUUAUUAUAAUUAUAAAUAUAAUUAUAAAUUUUAAAUAGAUUAUUAUUAUUAACAAGAAUAAAAAGUAUUAUAAUUAAUUAAUCUAUUAACAAUAAUUAAUAAUAAAAUUUUCAUUAAAUUGUUAAUGAUAAUAAUUAAUGAUAAUUAUUAUUAAUAAUUAAUUUUUGAAUAAUAAUAACAAUAAAAAUAAUUAAAAUAAAAAAAUAAUAACUAUGAUAAGAAUCAAUUAAAGAUUUUAUAGUAAUUUGUUACAAUUUAACUUACUCUGAUUUUUAUUCUAAGAUAAAAUAAACACAUAAAUUAUAAUAUAAUUCAUUCUAAUUUUGAUUCAUGCAGUUCAAGUAAAUAAAUUAUUAUGAUUUCAAUUCCUCAUUUUGAUUCUAACUAUUCUAAUUCUAACCCAUUAUGUUUCUAGAUAAUUUCGAUUCAUUUUUAGUAAAUCACUAUAAAAUUCAUAAUACUUAUGAAUAAAUUGUAAAUAAUAUAGAGUUGCCUAAUUGAAUAUAGAGUUGUUUACAAUUUUAUAGUGCGUUCACUAAAAAGGAAUAAAAACUAACUAGAAACAUAAUGAGUUAGAAUCGAAAUAGCUAGAAUCGAAAUGAGAAAUUUGAAUCAUAAUAAUUUUAUUUACUUGAAUUGUAUAAAUUGAAAUUAAAAUGAACUAUAUUAUAAUUUAUGUGUUUACUUUGUCGUAGAAUAAAAAUUAGAGUGAGUUAAAUUGUAACAAAUUACUAUAAAAUCCUUAAUUAAUUUUAUCAUAAUUAUUAUUUGGCUUUUUAAUUAUUAUUAUUGUUGUUAUUAUUAUUCAAAAAAUAAUUAUAAAUAAUAAUGGUUGUUAAUUAUUAUUAUUGAAAUUUUAACUAAAAAUUAUUAUUAAUUAUUGUUAAUAGAUUAAUUAAUUAUAAUACUUUUUAUUCUUGUUGUUAAUAAUAAUAAUAAUAAUCCAUUUAAAAAUUAUAAUUAUAUUUAUAAUUAUAAUAAAAUAAUUAUUAUAAUUAUAAUCUAUUUAAUAAUUAUUAUAUUUUUUAAUUAAAUGGAGGGUAUUUUGGAAAUUUAAAAUUAUAGGGGGCGAAUUGGUACUCCAAGGGUUUCAAUAAAAUAAAACAAAGUAUAAGGGGUUAAACAGAAUUUUAUAAUACUUAUGAAUAUAUUAUAAAUAAUAUAGAGUAUAGGGGGCUAAUUGAUAUAUUGCAGGUCAGCCGUAAGUUUCGUAAAUCUAACUUAGGCGGACCCAGUUUUUCAGAUUUUAUGUUCCAAGUUCCCACAAAUAGAAUGAGGGAAAAAAUGAAAACUAUCUUCAUCACUUUUGACCAUGCGUUCCGAUUUUGCUAGUCAAAAAAAUAAAUAAACAAUUAUUUUAAUUAAUUUAAGCAUUUAGACGGCUUAAUUUGACACUUUGAUAUUAGAAAACUUAUCAAUAUGUUAAGACUUGUUUACCGCACGUUUUAGUUCAUGAUCGUUUUAAGGAAUUGGACUAUUUCAAUCGUUGAAAACACAAAUGUACAUCACUCGUGUAUGGAAGAAAUCCUCCACCUUCAUCUUGUUAUAUAACUCAAACUCACACCCUCAAUAUUAUAAGGCUCGAGAUAAUAAGUUACAUGAGAGAAUUAGUUAUUGUUCACAUAGAAACUUGAGCAACUAAAGUAAAUAAAGCACUUGGGAUGAUUUAUUGUGGAUCUAUAUUUUAAUAAAGUGAAACUAGAAUUUGUUCGAAUAACAUGGAAUAUAGUUGCUAAUAACUCCUUGGUUCAGUAAGUCAUCCCCUCCUCUCCUUAAUUCCUGGAGGGUUUAUGUUUUCAUUGUUUUCAAAAUUUAAAAUUAUAGGGGGUGAAUUGGUACUUUAGGAGUUUCAAUGAAAUAAAAUAGAGUACAAGGGGUUGAACGAAAGUUUAUAAUCCAGAAAGUUUUGUAAUACUUAUAAUUAAUGAUAAAUAAUGUAGAGUAUAAGAGGCUGAACGAAAUUUUAUAAGGCAGUAUGUUGCGUUAACCGUAACUUAGGCGGGCCCAUUUUCCCUCUACUAAUAUGAAUUUUUGGUUACGUCAGUGCCACAAUAGGCUCAGUCCAAUAUCGAAAUAACCUGCAAAUCCCCUUUAAAAUUAAUAUUUAUUUUCCGUUAACCAUUGAUUAUCCAAAUCUAUUGGAAUCAUUUUUUAUACCACCAAAACUUUCAUUUCUAAUUUAUAUAUAUCUAUAUAAAUUCCACCGAAAAAUUGAUGGAUUGGCUUCAAAGGCAAUCAUGAUGAAACUUGCCUCUAUUUUAAACAGUAAUAUUAUAAGUGGGCAAUUUUUUUCUUUUGUGAUUUCUUAACAAAUGAAAUGACAACACUUGUACAGUUGUACAAAAUUAGCUGACGAGGAUUCCAAUAAAUUUUGACGAUUAGUGGUCGGAUGGUGGCUAACAAUGGUCAAUGAUGAAAUGGCGGCUAGUAAAGUUUUACAUAUAUAUUUUCAAUAAAUUGCCUAAUUUAAUCAUUAUUAAUAUGAUUACAACGAGUACAAUAUAAAUUUUUAAAAUUGAAAUUUAUACAAAUAUAGUUAAGUUUUACACCAAAUAUGAUAAAGUAUUAUGUUAACUUAUUCAAUUCCUGUAAUUUUGUAGGGUGCAAAUCCACCUGUCAAAUACGGCCACAACAUUAAAUCACAUAUAAGAAACACAUUAUGGGCAAACUAAGAGCAUCUCCAAAAGACUUUAUAAAUUUUAUUCUUUAAAUACCUAUUUGCUUACUUAUGUGGCAAAUAGAAUGGUGAAAAAAUAUAAUAUUCUCCAAAAAACUUUUCAAAUAGAAAUAAGUUAAUAUUAUUUUAAUCAUAUAAUUAAUUUUUUAAAGGAAAAGUCAAUAGUAAUUAAAGCACUUCUCUCUCUUUCUUCAAUAAAAAAUAAUAAAAUAUAAAUUAAAGAGAGAGAAAUUAACUCUCCAAAUUUGAAGAGAGAGAAUUAAUUGGAGUGUCUUUUAGAGCUUUAAAUAUUGAUGUGGCUCUUUAAAUAAGUAAUAAAAUCUUAUUUGAAGAGCCUUUUGGUGAUGCUCUAAGGUGCUGAUUGAUUUUUAGUUUGAAAUGUGAAUUUAAUUUUUUUCAGACAUUUGUUUAUUUUAAGUUUUUUUUUAACUUAUCACUUAUUGUCAGAUAAUUUUAUCUGAAUAGAAAAAGUAGAAAAUUUUCACUUUUAUCUGAAGUCUGAAGUUUAAAUAAAAAUUUUCAAUUUCAAAUCUCAAAAAUACCUUUAACAAUUUAUGUAUUUCCAAUAUUAUUUGAAGAAUCUUAAUUGGAGUGUCUUUUAGAGCUUUAAAUAUUGAUGUGGCUCUUUAAAUAAGUAAUAAAAUCUUAUUUGAAGAGCCUUUUGGUGAUGCUCUAAGGUGCUGAUUGAUUUUUAGUUUGAAAUGUGAAUUUAAUUUUUUUCAGACAUUUGUUUAUUUUAAGUUUUUUUUUAACUUAUCACUUAUUGUCAGAUAAUUUUAUCUGAAUAGAAAAAGUAGAAAAUUUUCACUUUUAUCUGAAGUCUGAAGUUUAAAUAAAAAUUUUCAAUUUCAAAUCUCAAAAAUACCUUUAACAAUUUAUGUAUUUCCAAUAUUAUAUAUAAACAUUAAUUUUUGUAUUAUUCUUGAUUGCUUUAAAUUUUGAUUCACAUGAUAACAUUAACAAAACUAAAAUAUUGAACAAAUCAAAUUAUAUCUAUUGUGAUGAAUAAAAAAUAUAAUUACAAUAUUGACUUUAUAAUAAAAUUUGAUGUUAUCAUUACAUCUUUUAUUAAAAAAUUAAAUUAAGAUCAACAAUGAUAGUAUCUUUUUUAAUGCUACCAAACUAAUUAAUUUGUGAAAAUUAUAAAUUAUAAAGAACAAAUAUAUGUAUCACUUAAAAGGAUAUUUAUGUUAAACUACUAGUUUUUAAGUUUUUUUUUUUCUCUUCAGAUGUUGAAAAAGAAAAAACAAACAUGUCAUUCAGACUUAUUCAGAUAAAUUCAGAUAUAUUCAGAUUUCAGAUAAAAAAACAAUCGCAACCUAAGUCCUUAAAUAUGAAAAAUAUAAAAACUCAAGGGGUCACAUGUUAUUCCUGUUUGUGAUUUUUGUCAAAAGUUGACCACGUCUGCUCUGUGGAUUUUCAUGUGAUUUUCUUAUUCUUAUAAUUAGAUUUGCUGUUGUUAGGAUUUCGUUUUAAGAAUUAAGUUUGGGUAAAUGGGUGAUUAAUGUGGUAGUUAGAUUUGACAUUGCUUUAAUUGUGGAGUUGUUGCAAUCAAAGGCUUUAAGUAAAUUCCAUUUUUAUUUUUAGGUAUAUGUCAUUUAAAUUUCUUAUCUAUUUUACGUUUUUUUAAUAACAACUUCUGUUCUAAAAUUAAAUGACAGAAAAAAGAUGAAUAAGUACAAAUUAAUCAUUAUCUAUUAUUCAUAGUAUUCGGAAUUUUAACUAUAAAAAAAAUCAAUCUAUUUUUUCUUUUUUCUUUUUUCUUUUUUCUUGAAGGAAUGUAUUUCAUUCGGAAACUAAUAAUAACUAAAUAAGACUGCAUCGAAUUCAAAUACAAUACAAUAUAUAGAAUAAGAUUUAAGAUUUAAACCUAAAAUAAUGCGGUAUUUAUGAACAAAAUAAAAAAUAUAUUUGCAAACACUAUAAGUUUCUAUGAACCAAAAGGAGAAAAAAAAGGGGAUUGCUAAUUUUCCUCUACAGUAAUUAACAUAUACCAUUUACCCCCUUAUUAUUUUUAUAAUGGCAAAAAAUUUCUUUGACAGCAUAAAUUUAUAAUAUUAUCCUUAUUUUCAACUACUCUUUUAUUUACAUUUAUUAUAAAUUAAAUAAAUUACAUUAAUAGAAUCUAAAUAAAAAAACUAAGUAUUAAAAACAAGAAAUAUAUGUUUUGAUAUGAGCAAAAAAAUUAAUAAUAAAUUUUUUUCUUGUAAUUAUUUAUUUUGUGAACAUUUUCUUAUAAUAAACAUUUUGUAAUAUUUUAAAAUUAAAUGUAAAAUUUCUAUUCAUGAGAUUUAUUUAAUUUAUAAUAAAUAUAAAUAAAAGAGUAAUUAAAAAUAAAGGUAAUAUUAUAAACUUAUGUUGUCAUGAAGAUUUUUAGUCAUUAUAAAAAUGAAAAGAGGAAAAUUAUAUAUAUUAAUUACUGUAGGAAAAAAUUGACAAUCUCCCUAAAAAAACAAAUCUCAAUAAAUCUACACUUACAAAAGCGAUGUUGUUUUCUUCGAAAUUGGAAUAAUUUAUUUUAGCGGCAUGGGAAAUGCCAACACCAACACAUCAUCAACAAUUGGUCGUUCAAGAUUCCAUGAUUUAUGUUGUUGAGGUAUCAACCUGGGAAACAAUUAAACAAAUCAACUUUAAUUUAUACAAUCCGAUUUUUUUUCCCAUUAAAUAUUGUAUGAAUGAAAAUUAAACUCUAAUUUUAUUCAUGGAAAUGGGGAAUCACAAAAUUCUUGCAUCACACUAUCCUAUACUUAACAAUUGAAUCGAAGUUAGUCAAUUUGAUGAAAUUUGUUGAUUCAAGGUAGAUCCCAUACGAAUGGCUAGAAAUUAAAAAAAAAAAAAUUAAAUCUAAAGUAAUAUUAAUAUUAUCAAUUUUUCACUCAAUGCUGGCUAUUUUUCAUUAUCCUCCCCUCGAUUAAAUUCAAUUUACACGUAAAUGAAUUUUAUGUCCAAAUUGGCGCUGACUCUUCCGCACCAAACAUUUCUUUUGUUUGACUGUUACAGUCAAAGGGUAAUUUCGUAAGUUACGGGAAUCCUACCCGAUAAAAUGAUUGAAUCAAUUGUAAUAGUUGGGUUAGAGAGCCUUGUUGGGCCCAACUGAGAACUUCUGAUUCCUCAUAACCACCAAACCCAACACCCCCCCCCCCCCCCCCCUCUCAUAAAACUGCACCACUAUUUCAAUUGCAUUUAAGAAGCUUAAAAGUCGUGCUAUUAGCACCCGUUUAUUGUUCUCAUAAAACCCCACUUCUGUUUCGAACUUUCAAUUACACGUAAGAACAAAUAAAAAUCUUAUUAAUCCAACUUAUAUUUUCUCUCUCUUCAAAGCAUUUUACUCGCAUAAGCAUGAUUUUUAUUUUUGUUUUUAUUUUUUCUACAAACUAUUUAUAUCAAUCAUCAAUCCAAUUUCUUAACUUUUUUAAAUUUGUGGCUCUCGUCCAUUCAAUUGGUUUGCGCAAAUUGAGAACAAUCUUUUUUUUUUCCCCUUUAUGCAGAUUAGUUCUUUUUAUUCUUAGAGAUUGUUAUUCUUGAAUGAUUGAUUAGUUUGUUGAGAAAUGUCAAUCCUAGGCAUGGUGCGAUUCAGUGCUAAAUCAAGCUGAAUCAAAUAAGUUUUUUUUUUUUAAUUGAACAUGAACCAAGUAAGAGAAAGAACCCAACCAUUCGGUUCUAGUUUUGUUCAUCGAUUAUAUGGUUAUAAGGCUAUUGGGCCUAUUUUGUGUUUUUCAAUUUUCAAGCCGCUUCGUUUAUAUAUUUUUUUUCAUAAUUUUAAACAUUUGGAACAAUUUUAUCAACACAUGUCUAUCACAAACACUAACAAUAAACCCCAAAAAAAAAAAAAAUAUCAAAUCCAUUUACUACCUAUUCCCAUUAUUCCUAGGGUGACUACCAAACCAAAAGAAACCAAAAUUUCUUAGUUAAGUUCCAACGCCAAAAAUCGAAAAGGCCAUAAAUUGAGUAACCGAUUGGUUUAUGUUAGGUUUGACUAAAAACUAAACCAAACCAACAAACCGAUCGGUUCUUUUAAUUAAAAUAAAAUAAAUGAGUAAGUAAAGAAACAUAAAAAAUAAAAUUUCUAUUUCUAAUGAGAAAAAUCUCUUUUCAUUCUUAGAGUUUUAUGCAAUAGCCAAUUUCAUCCCUAUUUUUUAAACAAUAACUCAAAACAUCCUUUUAUUAACCCACUAUUAGUUAAAUGUCAUUUUUUAGUUAUUCAUUGAAGGUAAAAAGGAUUUUUCAUUAAAGAGAAAAUUAGAAAAAAUAAAUAAAUGUUGACAUAUAACUAAAAAAGAUGUUUAUCUAAUCGCACUGAACAGGAAAUACCGAAAAAAAUAAAAACUUAUAUUUUAAUCAAUUAUUUUGCACUUCUCUAUAUUUUGGCGGCAUGGAAGUCCUAGAUUGAAGUACAAAAAAUAAUCACAAUUUUCAUAUUCGUAUAAAUAUACUCUCUAAUUACACUGUGAGCCGACUUGGGAGAUAGUGGUUAGGACUUGGGGAGACAAUAAUGGUCAAAGAAGAGUGGUGGUAAAACUCAAAAUAAAAUUUGGUUGAAGAUUAAGAAGAUUUUCAGCACAUGCAAGCACAUAAAAAUUGGUUGUAUUUUUGAGUUUUUCUUCCAAUAAUUUAAAGAUAUUGUGCUAAUUACAAUUUUUUGCUUAUGACAAUUAUUCAGUGGCUAUAUCAAACCACUUCAUUGUUCAUUUCAUUUAAGAAAAAAUUAAUGAAUUUUGCAUAUUUUGUAGUGUUAUUUAGUUGUGUAAAAAAUUUAUUUUAAUAUAGUUUGUACCACUUUAAUAAAAAAAAAUCAUAUUUUGCCCUCAAUGAAUUACUAGUUAACGGCAUUAAACUAACAGUGAAUUAGCGGAAUGAUGUUUUGGGUUAUGAUUUAAAAAUUAUGGAUGAAAUGAGCUAUUGCAUGAAACUCUAGGGAUGAAAAUGACUUUUUUCCUUUUCUAAUUUCUAAACCUAACUCGCGAUUCUCUCUUUCUCUCUCUCUCUCUUCCCCCCCUUUCCAUUUCCACUUUCACUCAUGCUAACACUGACACACCCCAAUCCCUAUCUAUCGCCAUUAAUUGUUUGCCAUCCCUUCUACUGUUCGUCUCGUUGUUGUCAUCUUCAACUUAGCCAGACACACAAUUUUUAUAGAACUUCUCACGACUAUGAUCAUCUUCAUCAGCGAAAAACCGAUUGGAUCUUUCAAUUAAAACUAAAAAAAUAAAUGAGUAAAGAAACAUAAAAACUAAAAUUAAUAUUUUCUAAUUUCUAAACCCUAACUCGCUACUUAUUAUCUCUCACUCUCACUCUCACUCUCAUUCAUGCCAAUGUUGAUGCAUUGCAAUCCCCAUCUACCAUCGUCACUAGCUUGCCAUCUCUUCCACUUUUCGUUUCAUAGUCGUCAUCUUCUACUCAGUCAGCCACACUAUUUCAUGUAUCUUCUCGUGACUGUGAUUGUAUCCGUCACCUAAGCUCGUCGCCUCAGUCAUUAUCACUAAUCGUUCCUGUUGAAGCCUCUCUCAGUCAUUGUUGCCACGUCCGUGAAGAUGAGUUGUGUUGAAUUUAUUUUCUUAUUUAUUGUUCUUUAGUUUUUUUUUCUUAAUUAUUUUUUUUGAGUGAAUUAGCGGAAUGAUGUUUUGGGUUAUGAUUUAAAAAUUAUGGAUGAAAUGAGCUAUUGCAUGAAACUCUAGGGAUGAAAAUGACUUUUUUCCUUUUCUAAUUUCUAAACCUAACUCGCGAUUCUCUCUUUCUCUCUCUCUCUCUUCCCCCCCUUUCCAUUUCCACUUUCACUCAUGCUAACACUGACACACCCCAAUCCCUAUCUAUCGCCAUUAAUUGUUUGCCAUCCCUUCUACUGUUCGUCUCGUUGUUGUCAUCUUCAACUUAGCCAGACACACAAUUUUUAUAGAACUUCUCACGACUAUGAUCAUCUUCAUCAGCGAAAAACCGAUUGGAUCUUUCAAUUAAAACUAAAAAAAUAAAUGAGUAAAGAAACAUAAAAACUAAAAUUAAUAUUUUCUAAUUUCUAAACCCUAACUCGCUACUUAUUAUCUCUCACUCUCACUCUCACUCUCAUUCAUGCCAAUGUUGAUGCAUUGCAAUCCCCAUCUACCAUCGUCACUAGCUUGCCAUCUCUUCCACUUUUCGUUUCAUAGUCGUCAUCUUCUACUCAGUCAGCCACACUAUUUCAUGUAUCUUCUCGUGACUGUGAUUGUAUCCGUCACCUAAGCUCGUCGCCUCAGUCAUUAUCACUAAUCGUUCCUGUUGAAGCCUCUCUCAGUCAUUGUUGCCACGUCCGUGAAGAUGAGUUGUGUUGAAUUUAUUUUCUUAUUUAUUGUUCUUUAGUUUUUUUUUCUUAAUUAUUUUUUUUGGUGUUGGGAUUAGUAGAUUAGGGUUUAAUUUUUGUUGAAUUGAUGAAUAUAGUUUAUUAGAUGAAAAGCUUUCUUAUGAACUUUUUUUAUAUAUAAUUUGUCUUCGAUUAAUGAAUAAAUUGUUAACAUUUAUGUAUUCAUAAUGUUGAUUUUGAUGAUAACAAACAAAAUUAAGAAUGAUUCAGUUUUUAAAAGCUCAAAUUAUUUUUAUACAUUUUAAAUAAAUCAUUAUUUUCACAUUUUAAAGGUUUUAUAUUUAAUGGAAAAAUGAUUUUAUGAAAUUAGUUGUUUUUCAAGUUUAUGGUUUAAUUGAAAGAGUUUUGAAAACUUUGAAAUCAACAAGUAUUGCUUGAAAUUUUGGAGAAGGAUUUAUUUGAAAAGUAUUCAUAGCAUUUUGGGCCAUAUCAUAAUUUUCAAAAGUUUUAGGAAUAUUAAGCAUUAUUUAGAAAUUCUGAAAUUGGACCUAUUUGUAAAAUUUAUAACGUUUUGGGUCAUAGUACAGUUAUAUAAAGUUUUGGGAUCAAACUGUUAUUUUAUAAAAUAAUUCACUGUAGCAGUUCACUGUAGAAAACGGCGAUCCGACAUCUUGAUAACGGCUUGCCGACAUCUAACAGAAUUGAAGAUUAGUCUCUGGACACUAACGGCGAUCUGACAUCUAGAUAACGGUUAACCGACAUUGCACAUAAUUGAAAGAUUAGCCUCUGGACGCUAACGACGAUCUGACAUCUAUAAAACGGCGAUCCGACAAUUUGAAAAUUCAGCCCAACGGUCAUAUUGACCAGUCAAACGGCGAUCCGACAUCUAAUUAGCGGCGAUCUGACAGUGAGCAGAAAGUUCAAUCCAAUUCAAACAAGAAGAAUUCCAACAAUUAUCAUUGAGCAAAAUAUUGAGAAUACAAUUUUCAUUGAGCUUUAAAUCUUUGUAUUCAUCUCAUUCAUUCACACAUUGAGCUUUCAUUUGUGAUCAAACACAUUGUGUGAGAGAAAUUCAUUUGUAAUCCUUUUUGUAAAAUCAAGUUAAGAGAUUGUAAGUGUUGAGAUACACUUGGGUUAAGAGAUUGAGGAUAAUUUAUUAUUGUGAAGGUACAUUGACACCUUGGAAGUCAAUUGUAAGCAUUUGAAGCCUUGGAGGCUUGCUUAGUGAAAUUCUCAAGCCCGGUGAGCUUGGAGGCGUGGACGUAGACGGGGAUUGCCGAACCAUGUAAAAAUAAUUGUGUUUGCUCUCUCUUCCCUUAUCUUUUUAUAUUGUGAUUUAUUUAUUUGUUAUUGCUUUAAAUUAGUUUUUUAUUUGCAUUGAGUUUUGUUUUAGAAUUGAUUAAUUUUUAAUAUCUCAAUUCACCCCCCUCUUAGGUUGCCUAGUUAGUAUUGCAUAAAUGUGAUUACAUUUAGCUACUUCAUUAUCUUGGCUAACAAAGUCGUUAUAGUUUGAGCUUGUAUUAUUACUUAAAAAUCUAAAAUACUGAAAAUUGUGUGUUGUUACAUCUUGUGACUUCUUAUCUUGAAAGCUUUAGUAGAUUGAUUCAUUUAGUUUAGAAGCUUUGGCAUUGAUUCAUUUAGUUUAAAAAUAACUUUGACUGAUUUUUCUUUUGUAUUAUGGUUGGCAUAAAGAUCUGAGCUGUAAAGGCUUGUUAAGUAACGACUUGACUGAGUCAUGGGUGUGGUUACUAAUACAAGCCCCUUUCAGUGAUUCAGGUUUGGGAAGCGAGAAGAAGGCGAACAUAGUAUGGUUUACCCGUGGGCAGCCGCUCGAGUUCUACAGCUCUUGGCCUACUUUCACACUUACACUUUAUAUGUUGGUGUGGCUGUCGACUAACUUAGAGGGUGGGUGUAUCUACGAGGAGGCUUUAUAAACUUCGUGGCCUGGUCAUUGUCGACCAAGCUACAAAGUAUUGAAACAUCUGUGCUCAAUGAGAGUAAAGGAUCUUUUUGAUCAAUAAAAAAGACAAGACAAAUCUACUUCACUACGUUUCUAUUAGCAAGCUUCUACUUUAUUCUUAUUUGCCCCACCCAUCCGCUUUCUUCUAGUUGGGUGGGUUGGACUAGGAAUAAGGAAUAGUUGAUAUUUCGACUUGGGGCGCAUUUUAUUUGGGAGUUUUUUGGAUGUUAAAUAUUAUUGGCCACAACAACACGUGUGAAAAAUUGUCCCGCCUAAAAUCAAUGAGCUUGAUGAAAAUUUAUCCAACAAUAAAUUAAUCAUCGCAUCAUUAGCAGCGCAAUUAUCCAUAAUCACAAUUGACACUUUCCUAUCAAUAUUUUAAUCCAUCAAACAAUCAUACAAAACAUUACAUAUCACUUCACCACUAUGUGGAGUUGUCAUAUAUAUAAACCUAAUAAUACAAAAAAAAAAACAAAGAAUAAUGUAAUUGAAAUCAUUAAAAUGCGUUAAUAUUGAAAUAAACAUAAUAUAAAUAUUAAGUGUUACCUUAUAAUGUGACUCUGCAGCACCUAGAAGUUGUCAAUAUAAUGGGUCGUAAUAACUAUAAAAACUUUUUUUUGUUACUAUCUUUCCACAUGUCCGUAGUAAUUACAAUUAUACUUUCACAAGCAUCUAACAAAUUUAUUGUCUUCGACCUCUCAACAUCAUAAAGCUUCAAAACUUCAUUCUUGAUAGUGUUUCUACUUAUUAUAUCAAGUGAUGGUUAAACCAACUUCAUCAAACCACGAAACCCUUGAUAUCCAACAAAUGAAAAUGUAAGCUCGUGUAAAAUGAUCAUCCACCAUAUCACAUUUUACUUCAGAACAACUCUCAACUAUGACGGUUCUAUCAUUGUUCUUGGCAAGAGGCAUUUGGCCAACAUCCUUGAAAUUCUUUCUUAAACAACUAGUAAAAUGAUUUUUUAAGUGUGUAGUCCCACUAGAAUAAUGUCUAGUCAAUACUUUACUACAAUAGUUGCAAACUGCUUGAUACUCCCCAUCUGCGUCUUUGUACCUCUUGAAAUGAUUCCAUACAUCAGAAAUUAGCACACCACUACUAGAUUGUGCUGAUGUAGACCCUUCCGCUACACCUCCACUAUCAUUACCUCCUUUUUGUUCGACACCACGCGCAUCGCCACGACCACGACCACGACCACUACUACUUUCUACCAUCGAUUCAACUUCAACAACAUUGUCAUUUUCAAGUUUGUGAACAUCCUCCAAUCUAACAUCCGCAUUAUUAACGCUAUUUGGAGAGAAUGAAAAAUUACUUUCUUGUUCCUGUUCGGCCAUGUUCAACUAAUCCUAAAACCUAAUUAAAGUACUUCAUAAAAUGAGUUAGCAUACUGAAAAAAAAAUGAGAUUAAGCAUUUACAUUAUAUUGAAAAUUAAUGCAUUUAAUUAAAAUAAUUAAACAAAACAACAAAGACAAUUAAUAAAAAAUAAAUUUAAUUGAAUCAGCAAGGAAUUUAAAUUAAGCCAGCAACAUUUUCAAGUUUAAAUAGAUUUAUAUUAGAUUGAACUCAUUAAAUACAAUCAAACAAUUAACCAUAAUACCAAAAUAUUAACAAAAAAAAACCAUGAAAUUAAUAGGAAGAACAUAAAAUUAAUAGAAACAAAAGAGCAAAUUAUAGGCAAGAACGAUCCAAUCAGGCAAGGAUUGCACGGUGGUGAUAAAUGCUGCAACAGUGGCAUGACGAGGCUCCAAUGAAGGUGAGGCUUAGAUGACAGCAAGGCGUGUAGUGCAUAGUGACAACAACGUGCUCAGGCGAGCUUUGACGCGAGGCUCGGGUGAGAUUGCGAGGAAGACAACGACUGGUCGAUAGCAUUACAAACCCUUUGAUUUUGGGCGUUAGGGAUUUGAGGAUUACCGGUUACAACUAUUGGUGGUGAGCUACUUCGGUUUUGGGCAUUGGCAACAACAACAUAAGUAAGUGAGUGUGUGUGAAAGUUGAAUGCAAUAUUGACUUAAGGUUAGGGAUUAGAUUUUUUUUAUUUAAGUUAAUAUAUUAUAUACAUUUUUUAAUUUAAAACAAAAUUCAUAUGGAUCCGGAUAUUUGUUUUUCGGAUGCAAGUACAUUUGAAUCCAUGCGAAUUUUCAUUUUCAGAUCCGGAUCCUUGUAGAUGCGGGUCAGAUUCGGAUUUUAUUUCCAUCCAUACAUCCAACAUUAAGGGUAUGUCAUUUCACAACCACACAUGCAUCGUAUCAUGAUACAUAACUCCAUUAGACUCUUGCUUGUCGAAUCAGCAUGAAUGUUUUGAAUAAAAUCGUCACCGAAAUGGAUUCUAUUAUUGUAUGUGAAAGCAAGUUCCUUGAGUUUCAAGUCAUCAAUGAAUAAGGCAACUUGAGGUAUAUUUCUACCAUUGGCAUAAGUGUUUUGCUGGAAUAGCCUCCAUAUGAAGUUUAUGGCAGCUGUCAUUAUUUGCUACGUGUAUUUGGCUCUGAUCUCAUUAUCAAAGCGCAUGGCGUCAGGGGUUGUGGUAGCCCAGUUGAUGAUUGAAUUUAAUUAAAUAUAUUUUGUUAAUAUAUCAAUUUACUUAUUUUAAGAAUAUAAUAGUAAUUAUAAAUUAAAAAUAAAUUUACUCUUAAAACAAACAGAACUUACUAGCAGAAAGGGAAUAUAUAUCUAUUUUGAAAUGUUAAAAUGCUUUAUAUUUCUUUACUUAAACGUUAGGGUCUCACGGUCCUUUCCCCUAAAAAAAUCUUAUACUCAUUUAGAUAAAGAUAUAUAAUAUUAUAAUUAUUUAAAAAUUAAAUAUAUUAAUUUGAUCUAUUUCUCAGCUUACUACUUAACUUUUUACUUGACUUAUUUACCAUUCGACUUGAUUUUUUUCCACCUACUUAAAUGUACCCGACUUGAUACUUGAAAGUUAAGAAUGAAGUUUGAUAAUUCUCAACUAGAUAUUCUUUUUUUUUUUAAAGGAAAGCAAUUUCAUUAAACAAAACGAAUUACAAACUGUUUAAUAACCACAAAGGUGGAACAAAAUUCCACUCUUGGGAACCUGACAUAGAACUUCCUGCCUCGCAACAGAGUGAGCAGUUAGAUUCAUAGACCAACACACAAACGAGAAUUACACUUCUCCUAUAGAUAUAGCUAAAGCUUGACAUUCGUCAAUUAUUAAACCAAAACCAUUAGGCCCUGAAAACUCCUCAAAUAAAGCUUGGAACACUUGUAAGCAAUCCAUCUCUAGAAUAACGCAAGGAAACUGCAAUCCUUUAAGCCAACUAAGGGCCUCUUGGAUGCCAAGAGCUUCAGCCUCCCUUACUCCAAAAUUUCCAACCAUACCAGCACAUCUUGCUGCCAAGAAAACGCCCUCUGAGUUUUGAAGCACACAACCAAACUCAAUCUUUCCCUGGGAUGAAAAAAUAGCAACACCUACAUUACACUUAACCCAACCAAACUUUGGCUUCUCCCAACACAUUGCCCCAUGAACCAGUUUGUGAACAUCAGCAUCAACAUAAAAAUGUUGCUUCUUUGCUUCUUGCCACUGAUAGAGAAGCUGCCCAGCAGAGUUAAGAACCUGAUAUACUAAACUAGCUUUAUUAUUCCAUACUUUGUCAUUACGAUUAACCUAAAUUCUCCAGCAAAUCAUCAUGGCAACAUGGCACUCUUCUUUACUGCAUCGUGUAAAAAUGUGAUCAAGCCACUCUAAGAAAGAAGAGCAAUGGCCAACAAAACCCACAUAGGAAAAAAAACCAAUAAGAGUUAGCAAAACAACACUUAAGCAAAGAAUGUAGAACAGUUUUGUCAAAAGCAUGGCACACAACACAAGUAGAGAUAAGAUUCACCAUUUUCGAAAUUAAAUUAACUGCAGUAGGCAGUACAUUUGUUGCUGCUUGCCUAACAAAAUUCUUAACCUUACUCGGCACAUUCAAGUUCUAUAGUUUUCGCCACACACGUGUGAAAGAGCCAGGGGUAAUAGAGUGAAAUAACUUGUAACAGCUACGAACCGAAUAACAGCCUCAAGGAUCAGCUAGCUAAUACCAUACAUCAUUGUCUCAACGGGAACUAAGGGGAAUUUGAAGAAUCAUCUCCUUGUCUCUUGUGUUGAACAUAUCCUAAACAAUAUCAUAAUCCUAGGCUUGUUGAUUAGACACCAUUAAACUACUAACAAGUGUUGUAGCAAGCUCUGCAUUAAGAUUAAAAGAAACAAAACCAUCAUUGAGAUCGGGAAGCCAUGGAUCCUUACUAAUGGAGAUCGUAUGCCUACAUCCAACUUGCAGUCGACUCUCCUGAAUCACCACAUCCUUUGCAACCAAAAUAGAGCGCCACAUAUAGUUAAGAUUAUGCCCCACAGAAGCUUGAAGGACAGAGGUUCGCAGAUAGUAGCGAGCUUUAAUAAUCUUAGCUACAAGAGAAUCAGGACAAGUUAACAAUUUCCACAAUUGUUUUCCUAGCAUCGUUAUAUUGAAUAAAUGAAGUUGUUUAAAGCCAAGGCCACCGCACCCCUUUAGUUUGCAUAGAUUCUCCCAUUUAAGCCAAUUAAUUCCUUUCCCUCCACUACGAUUGCUACGCCACCAGAAUGAAUUCAUCAUCACUUCUAAUUCUCUACACAUAUCCUUUGGCAGCAAAUAAAUACUCAUAGCAUAAUUAGGCAUAGUGAGGGCCAUUGUCUUUAAUAAAAUCUCAUUUCCAACCCGAGAGAGCAUCCUCGUACUCCAACUCUGAAGCCUUUGCCAGAGCCUGUCCCGAAUAUGCCUGAAAACUUCUUUCUUUUUUCUGCCAAUAUAUGAUGGAAGACCAAGGUAGGCUCCAUGAUUAGUGGUCGUGUUAACCGCAAUAACAUCACAUACCUGCCGAGUUACAGAGUCAAGCACAUUAGCAUUAAAUGAAAUUGAAGAUUUAUUGAAAUUAACCUCUUGACUAGAGGCUCGACCAUAUACUGCCAGUAACUACUUGAUUAAGGAAGGUUCAUUGUUAUUUGCCCUAAAGAAAAGGAAGCUAUCAUCGGCAAAGAACAAGUGAGACACCGAUGGAGCACCUCUCACAAUUCUAACACCAUGAAGCAAGCCAUUCCUUUCUUGCCUUCGAAUUAAAGAGCUUAAUCCUUCUGCACAAAUAAUGAAUAAAUACAGAGAUAAUGGGUCUCCUUGACGAAGAACCCUACAAGGAACAAUCGGACCAACUUCCUUCCCCUCCCGUAGCACACUAUAUUAGAUAGUUGAUACACGAAGCAUAAUUAACUCCACCCACUUGGCAUCAAACCCCAACUUAAGCAUCAUAGCUUGAAGAAAAUUUCACUCAAUCUUGUCAUACGCCUUAGACAUAUCAAUUUUCAGAGCAGCUACACCAUUUUUUCUUUGCCGCUUUCACUUUAAGAGGUGCAUAAUUUCAGCCGAAAAUGAUUAUAUUAUCAGUGAUAGCUCGACCUGGGACAAAAGCACUUUGAGAAUCUAAAAUAACCAAAUUAAGAAUUGAUUUUAUGCGGUUAGCUAACAUUUUGGAUAUGAUCUUAUGCAGAACAUUGCAUAAAGCAAUCAAGAAAUGAUUCCACUCAACUGGAUAUUCUUUUUCGUAGGCAUUUUUAUCUUGUUAAUUUCACCUUCUUGAGGUAUAUGCCCAUAUAAAUUACAAAAAGUCCAGUUUACCCUUAAAGACACGUCAAGGAAUUGAUACGCUGCAGUUUGGUUACAGUGAUACAUUACCCCCGAACUCAGCUUAUCCAAAACCCAGAAGAUAAACCCACCAAGUCCCCAACAUAAACACUUUGCCUAUCUUCUACAUUUUCUCCCUCACUGACUCUCAUUUGAUACGCUUAUUAAAUGAUUCUGAAAAAUGUCGAGAGGCUCCGACCGUUUUAUGAAGAGCGUGAAGCAGUUCACGGACUUUCAUUACAAGCAGUUCACGACUCGACACGGUCAGCAACUCAUUGACAUAUUCGAGUUCCCAAUUAAGCUCGUCUUGUCUCCUUUUACACUCGCUUUUGACAUCGCUGGCUCCGCCCCUCGCGGCUUCGGUGUCCCCGAGCUCAUCUCCAAGCUCUCUUAUGUUUCUGUCUUCGUAAGCGCCUUCUCUUUCUCUAGCUUUUCUCGAAAUUCAAUCGAUUCUCAGUGUGUUUAUAGAAAGAUAAAACAGUUUGUAAUUGACAACUAUUUAUAGAAUUUGUGAAAUUUCAUAUUUAAUGCCUUCAAAAUUAUUUUUUUUCUCUCUUCUCAUUUGGAUGGUUGCUAAAUUAUUGGGAACAUUUUAAAAUGAAUUGUUGUUGUCUUUUUUUGGACGGGUAUGAGUGCAGGCUGUUGCUGCAAUUGGGACCUAUGAUAUUGCAUUUGAGCUGGGGAAGAAGGUGAUUUGUCAGAGGUGCUUUUCGAUAUCUUCUUGAAUUUUUUAUUCUGGCGCUCUGUUAGCAUCGUUGAUCGUUUUCUGUUUGUCAUUUUAGUUUGUCUUCGCUUUAGUUCUUUCAUCAAGAUAGAAUUUUCUGUAUCAAGCUUGUCACAAUUGAAGGGGAGUACAUAUAUGCAUUUUGUUUAAAGAAUUGCCUGGUUUCUUACAAGAACUUGGUCUAAAAAGUGCAGGCAUUGUCGGACAUGCAACGGAUGGCAGGCAUUGCGGUGUACCAUGUGCCGAGGAUCAGGUCAGGUGCAGUAUCAAGUAAAAGGUUACACCUUGAGAAGGUAGAGACUGGUCUCCAAUCAGUUUGAUAUUUUUAAGCAUACUGGAUUAUUAUUCUCUUCAUCUAAGACAAAGAUGGAAGGUUCAAUAAUUGGUUUGUGGGAGUCAGUUUAGCUAGAGAGUUUCAGUAUGUUAACUUCUAAGCAUGUGUAUGAUCACAGAUUGGUUAUUACUCUCAUUUGUUCUCUUGAACCAUUUUUUAGUGGACAUGUUGCAUAUGAUUUCUCAUCCGCCUCUUAAGUAUCUCUUAGAAUUACUAUAAUUGGCUUUCUACUAUGUCUUCGCUGAUAUAGUUUAAUAGUGAUGUAAUAUGACUUCUUGGUCACUAUAUCUACCACAUUGUGGUUAAAUCAUGUAAUUACUGGUUUCAACAUUAGCAUAGGAAUCCCUAAGGUGUGAAGACUCUGCUUUGCCUCCUGUGAUCUUUAUCAGUUUCAUGAAUGCAUGAGGAUUCCAUGGAGGUGUCCUUGAGGUCUGAUUUCUUUUAGCUUGCAAAUUGUGUAGGGUUUCGUGCGCUUAGAAUCAGAAGCUAGUACUGUUGGUCUUAUUGAUUUAUCAUCUUAGUUAUCUUAUUAUAAGUAUGAAGUGUCAAUCCAACCGUAGUAAUUUGAUGUUUAUGGUAAAUUUUCUUGUAGUGGGGAGAAGGCAACAGCAGAACACGUUGCAGAUGCCAUUGCUGACAAUCGAGCUGAGUUGGUGCACCUCCCUUCAACAAUUGAUCUUAACACACCAUUGCCAUCUAAAGACUGCCCGACUUGUGAUGGAACGGUGAGGCUGUUAUUUCCUAGCACAUGUGACUAAGUUAACAAGUUCUUCCCACCCUUCAUUCAUGUUUCUUGUCUCACAGAUAGUGUGCUGCUUUGAAUAUAUUCCCAUGCAGCAUUUUAGAAAGAGAUAUUUCAACCAUAUUAUUAUUUUGUUUGGGUCAAAAAGAAUGAAAGUUAUAGCCAAGAGACUGGACAGAUAUUUGACUUGUAUUCUUUUUAUUUUGAUCUCUGAUUGAAAUAACUAAAUGUGUUUGCAGGGCGUAAUGGGCUGUCCUGAAUGCAAAAACAAGCUACAAGUCACGAUCUCUGCUGACGAUGUGAGUUGUUCUAUGAAUUUUUUGAUACUUCAAUGUUAUGAUAUGGUCUGUGGAUACAAAAAUGAGUUUUUUGUUUAAUACAUACAUGCAGUGCCAGACAUGGCAGCUUACAGAAAUUUAGAUACAGUACGUCUGUACUUCUAUGUUUGUGCACUCAUAAAGUUUCGUGUUUUGUUUGUUUAGAAGGAUCAUAGAAAAUAAAACAACAAUCAAGCUUGUGAGUAUGUAGGAGUUCCAUAACAAAGUUUACAUAGUACCUCAAAAUAUUACCUAUAAUCUACGAAAAAUGAAUCUCAUUAUGCUGUAACCAUCUACAUAGAUGUUGGAGAAGGUGGACACGCUUGAUGUGUUACUAAUUCUUUGACACGCCAAAUAUUCUACUGUAGAAAUGUCCGACAAAUUGUAGAUAUUUGUGACACUGCUAAAAGAGCUGUACUUAGUUACACUGAUGUCUAUUUGCUAUAAAUUUGAAUUGAUGCAGUUUUAUCCUUGUUUUCUUUCUGCAGAUCAUGGAACCUCCAUGGAAAGCCUACAAUGUACUGAGAAAGAUGGAUUACCCGUAUGAGGUCAGUAUCAUAUCCGUUUCAAAAAAAUUUUUAUUGUUAGCAGUAGUUUUAAAUCUUUCACUGUUAUGAAUAUUUAAAAAGCCUUGUUGCUUCAUAUCUUGGAUUCAUGUACUAAUGGAAGCUGCAGUUUGUAAUCAUCAAAAUGAUGGAGUCUCUUCUAAUUCUUUUCAAAUUUUCUUGUUCUUUGCAAUAUUCUAGUUUUGAUUGGAAAACUUUUUGGUGAUUUGAUAAUAUUUGUACAGCUUCAUCACACAACUUUGUUAAUAUUCACACUUUGGAAGUAAUGUACAAUUGAAGGACAUAUCUUGAUUACUUAACAACAAAUUGUAAAAAUUUUAGAAAUCAUCGUAGUUAUCAACAUUGGGCAAUCUUCUUUAAGUUCUUUGAAACAUUCCAACAUUGGACAAUCCACUUUCAGUCCUCCAAAAGAAUUUUUAAAGUUUGUAAAGACGUUGUUUGAGGCUUCCUUUUGUUGGUCCUCAAUGGGCAUUACCCUGACUGAAGAAAUGCUCAAAUUGUUCAGUGGAGCUCCAUGUAGGAAAGGAAUUACAGGAUUUGGGAAAACGUUCAAUUAGGGUUGUAACAUUCUUUCGAAUGGAUAUAUAUAGUUUUCUGUUAUUCAUGGGAUAGUCAUUCUUGAAGGUCAAUUUUAUUGUCUACUUUGUUGUUACUAUAUUCCUUUCCCGGUAUGCAAUGCUUUUUAAAUCAUCGUUCUUUUUAUGUAUAAAUAUGAUUACUGUCUAUAAAUUCUUUUUACAUAUAAAUAUAGCUAAUGCAGAUUUCAGAGUUAGUGCCUUAGAACAACAUUUUGUUCUAAUUCAUACUAUGUUUUUUGACUUUGUUUACUGUUUCAGCAUAUAGUUGAAAGCAUGAGAGACCCCAGUAUUGCAGCAUUCUGGUUGAUGACCUUUCCUCAAAUUGUGGGUGGAUUUGACUUUGAUGAUGAGGUCAAGCAGAAAAUUUGGUGGCAAUACAAGGUUCCAGAAUGAUUUUUUCUUUCUCCCCCUAUUAUUAUUUGGUUACUAUUUAUUUUGCAAUUUUCCAUCCUCUCUCUCUUUCUCUGUCUCUCUGUCUCUUUCUCUCUCUACACCUUAUGUACUAUGGAUUGCAAAUUUAUUUUUUCAAAGUCAAGAUUCUGCCGCUGUUAUAAAAAAUGUCAUUGCAUGCAUAAAAUUUUAUAAAAUUGUUCAUUUUCUUUAAGCGUUGUCUGAUAAAAGGUUUUGGCUAGAUUAUUGAUUUUGCUGUAUACUUUAGAAAUUAGAGUCUGACAUCCCAUAUUCCAUAUUACCUGCUCAGUGUGUGGAAGUUUUGGUUAAAACCGUGUCUGUUAAAAAGCAUGCUAAAACUUGGCACCAGUACUUAGCCUGAGCUUGAAAGCAUAAUGAUAAUGCUCUUUUUAAUCUAUGCAUUAGCUGCACAGAGUCAUUGACCUUUUAUUUUCAUCCCAACAGUAACUGGAUAUAUGGUUCCAGCUAAUUCUUGAACUUCCAUUUAUGAAAUGCCACAUGUUUUAAUUCUUAUUUAUUUUACCUAAAGUUGUGGCUUCACCAUUUUGCUUAUUCCACGCAAGCUGAAAGAAGAAUAUAAAAAUAAUAUGAACUCUAUAACAGUAUGCUUAGAGCUGAACAUCUCAUAUUCAGGCUAACAAUUGAAUUGAUAUUGUUAUUAUGGUUAUUCAGUAUUUUGAUCUUUGAAAUUACUGCUGCUAAUGGUGGGUGAUUGUAUUUUUUUGGUCUUUGCAUGGUUAGGAAUCUAUGAGGUACGAUCAACUUCGUGAGUUGGUGGCCAAGAGAAGUCCCGGUUGGGAGCACUUGCAGGAAGUAAGAUAAUCUUCUUACUGCAAAUAUCUCUUCUUCCGAAAUUCACUGACUCUUUCAGUUCACAAAUGUGACUUUUCUACAAAAAAGAAAAAUAAAAAAGAAAAAGUUGGCAGUCUGCUGUGUAAUGUCCUGUAAAAGAAUGAUAAUGAUAUGGUCAUGGCCAAUUGGAUGUUUCCAUGGGAUGGAUGUUGAAAAGCAAUGUGGUUAAUACUUGGAUUCUGUGGGAAGUUGUGAAAGAUUUCAUUUACUUUAUGUUAUUUCUUAUUUCUUUUCAUACUUUCCAAGUACUUCCCAGUAUUAUAUAAAUUUGUCUUUAUUAAACUAUGUUUCCAUCUAGUGUGUUCCCUUUUUGCAGAGAUUCAUAUUGAAUAAAGAGUUUAAGCACUUUAAUUUAAAUUUUUUUCUGUUUAAAACAAAAAGACUUCCGAUGAAUUUUCAAGUCCUAAUUUAUCUAACCAGUCCUUAAGUUCUGGUUUCAGUUUUGUUUCCUUUUCCUGAAGUUUUAUCACAUUUUGAAUAUUGACCUUAGUACUUACACAUGAUGAACUUGUGAGUUUGUGGGGAUUACUUGACAUGACAGAAACUCCCCCCUAUGGCCUAUCUCUUUCUAAAGGACACAUGAAUUAUGCAAUAUUUUCAUAUUAUUGAAUAACUGAAAUUCCAUUCUUAAUGCUCUAAUUUUCCACCCCUUUUAUAUUUCAUUUCCAGAAUCCCUUUCCAAUUUUGAUGUAUCAAACAUGAUUGUAUGAAGUUAUUUGUUUAUCCUGGAAUGAAUAUGAAAGAGUGAAAAAGAUUUCAAUAUUCAAGAUGUUCUAAUUGUCUGGAUUUUAUACUGUUUAGAAAUGUAACUGAUUUACCUUUUUCUAUUUGGUGAGGAUCAUGAUUAAUGACAUAUAUUGAUAUCUUUCAAUCAGUUGAUGACUCCAUUGUUUGUCUGUGUGUAUGUAUGCAAACACUUUCUGUUCCUAUUCCUAUCUGUGUAUUGAUAAUUGAACUUCUGCACAAUGCAACCGGAAAUCAACAUAAUGAUUAUAAAAUAAAUAAUGAAAAAAACUAGAAGAUAGAUACUGACCCUCAAACGCUACGCUCCUUAUGCUGACCUUCGAAUGCUACGCUCCUCAGUCCACUCCACUACUGGGAAAUGGCUCUCGCCAAUCCUUCUCUUUGAGGAUUCCAAGAGCAGGACUCUACCUACUUGUGCACUAUUGCUCAAAGUCACUAAUAUGAAAUCAUUUAUCAUUUGCAGGCCUUGAUCCCCAUAGAUCCUGUCCGUGCUAGGGAAGACCCUGUUAUAGUGAAAAACAUCCCUUACUACAAGGCCAAGAAGGCUCUAGAGACAGAAGUCAUGAAGCUUGAUCCUCCACCGCGGCCUGAAAACUGGGGUGUGCGUACCCUAUAUUGCUAAUCUAUACACUGUAGUUUAGAUAUCCAGUAUUUGCUUGAAUUUUUAUUACAUGUUGGUAGUGCUAAAUAGAAUUAAGGAAAUAUUAUUGGAGCCAACUGUUGAGCACUUGCAGGACCUGGACCUUCCACUAAAUGCCUCUUCUUGGAGUGAGGAUGAUCUCAAAGACCCAAAAAAGUUAUAUGAGAAGACUGUUCUUCUUAAUGCUCAAAGAGAAAUUGCUGAUAAAAUGUUGGAUGCUCAGUGGGAAACUAAAUGGCGGCAAGAAAAGGUUUGGAAAACUUAAUGUUUAUUCUCCCUGAUUGAACGCUCAGUAUAUUAUUUUCCUUUUUCCCUUUUGGGUGAGAUUACGGCUUUGCUGACAAGAUUUACUAUGGCUUAUAACAUGAUGGAUUUUAUAAAGACUUGACUGAAAAGCUUUCUGUUUAUUUAAGAGAUCAGAUUUCAAAUCUUUGUCAAAAUCAGGGCAAAAUUUUUUGCACAUCUGUCUUUUUGGGUAACUAUGAUUUGUUAAUCAAGAGAACCUAGAAAAGAAAAAGAAAUGUUAAAAACUUUUUCUUUAAUUUGAUUGCUGCAGAAAGUUGAUAAGCUUAGCCUUUUUUCUGAUUAUUUUGAUUUUCACACAGUUGCACUCAGUUAUGCAUUCAUUCUUGUUCAUAAGUUUGGCUGUUGUGAACUGAAAGAGGAAGAAUCAUGAAGCUUACCAGAAGAUGGAAUGACAUUUAGAACUCAUGCACGCAUGUUACAUGGCAUAUACAAUCAUACAUAUACAUCGAUUUGCAUUUCCUAAAUACUAUCCUGCAUUUUCUGUGGGCUAAUUUGCAGUGUUGUCAAUACGUUUUUGUUGCAUUCUGAAGUAGGGUAUGAUUAUUUUGUUAUUAGCAGUUGAAUGAGAUGUUGGAGGAGAAGGUGCGGCCAUUCAUGCAGAACAUUGACAACGCUGUCCUUUCUCGGCCUAUUCUAAUGCAUCCACAGAAUGAAAAUAAGAAUAAGAAUCAGAAGGUUUCUCUGCCCUUCUUGGCAAUUAUAUAUAUAUAUUUUUAAACUUUUAAGUUGGGGGUGGGUAAGCACUAAGCAGUAUGGCAGGGUGUUACCUUGAAUUGAUUUGUCUCUUCUCAGCUGGGUGUAACUAGGAAUUUUUAGAUCUUGCUUUAAUGUUUUGGAAAAAUUACUACAUGAAAAGUACACUUGCACUUUCAUCUCCUUUCUAUUUAUGCAUUCUUAAACAGUGCUUGCUUAUAUUUUGUUGCAGAAGGCUCGGCAAAAGAGAUGGUGGUUCUUCUAGCUAGGCUAUUUCAGCCAAGUUUUUCAUACGGUCAGUGCCAUGGCCAUACUUCUAUCUUUUAUGUAUCAUUUUUUGCCUCAUGUUGUAUAAUCUGUAAUCCGCCUGAUAGUACUCUUCUCACUUGCAGAAAAGUAUUUUUUGACGAUGCAAUGAGUGUCCUUUCUCUCUAGAGAAUUUUAGUCUUCCAAGUUAUUAAUAUUACUCGGGUGUUCAAUAAUGCCCUGAGCCCUUAUUUUUCACUUCCCGGCUGUCCAAAAAGGUUUGUUCCCCUGCGAUAUGCCGGGAUUUAUAUCUAAUACUCGUUUUGAGGAUAUUCAUUUUUCUUCUAGUUCCAGAGCACUUGGAAAUGCAGACUGUUAAUGAUGUACACUUGCAGAACUUUUUUCUUGUACGGUUUCAUAAGUCUUUUGCGCACACUCAAGACGGCAAAUGUUUGUUUUGGUCUUUGCAUUCAUUCAGUCAGCCAUUGACUUAAAAAGGUGAUGGACUGCCACCUCGAAAUGUCCAAAUCAAAGAUGGAAAAAUCAAAGCUGGAAAUUGCAACCCCCUUCCCUUGCCGACACAUACUGAUGGACCGAAAAUAACUCUUCCUGUCAAGCGACCAUCCAGCUUCUUGUCUUGAAGAUGAAAGCAAACGGCACUUUUUAUUUAUUGAUUUGACCAAGGCAUUCCCUGCUUGUCCUCCAAAACGACACUCCAUGUACAAACGCAAUGAAUAGAUCGACAUCCCAAUAAGUGUUAAUUUCCUAUUAGUCUAAAUUUAAACAUCUCAAAUAUAUUUUUUAAACUUCUAUACAUUACACAUGUUGCGAGAGCACAUGCCUGAUCGAGUCCUAUCAAAUAAUCAAAUUCAGGAGAUUUUAACUACUUAUUCUAUCUCCAAUAAUUAAUUAAAAAAAUUAUUUAAAAAUCACUCGACUUAGAGUUUGUUUAAGAUUAUUUUUGAAAAGUUUAAAAUUGAUUUUGAAAAUCUAAAAGUAAAUUUAGUUUAGUAAACUCUUUUAGAAAUCACUCUCGGUAAAAUUAUUUUAUCCUAUAUGAGAUUUUAAAAAAUAGGGAAUGAGUAGUUUUUUGAAAAAUUUAACUUUGAGAAUUUAUUGUAUACUUAAUAUAUAUCCUUAGGUAUAUUAUAGAAAUCUAAAAUUAUCUUAUUAAUUAAGAAAUAAAAUCAUUAAUAGUAAAAGAUUAUUGUUAUAACCAAUUAUCUAGAGAUAACAAAAUAAACAAAUAAAAUUAAUAAUAUAAAAUAUUUAUUUUAGUUAUUAAUUGUUAUAUAUACACAACACAAAAAUAUUUUAUAUACAUGCUUAUAAAUGUCUAAAUAGAUUUUAUUCAAUAUUUUGUCGAAUUCAGUUAUUUAUAUUCUUACAACAGUUUAACAAUAAGACUCGCAACACUUUUAAAAUAAAUUCUAUUAAAUAUUUAAGUGAUUCCCUUCUAGUUAAUUAUUUUAAAAAUACAAAUAAUGACAAUUAUUUUAAAAAUUAUAGUAUUACCAAACUAGCCUUAAUCCUAAAGCUUAUUAGCUAAGUCAGGGAAAUUUUUUUGUUUUGAAUUCUGUUAUACACAGAUUGUUACUAAUAUUAAGCACUUGUUCAAAUUUUUUAAACACUCUAUAAUAUUCGAGGGGUGUCUACUCUAUUCACAUUAUAAGUAAGGAAAAUACUAUCUCUACUCAAUUAACUAAUAAUUAAGGAAGUACUGAAAUUAAUUUUUAUAAAAUUCUUAUAGAAGCUCGAACCCUCCCUUAUAUUCACCACUAUAAAUGUACUGAUUCUCCCAUCGAAGUAAGACCGUUCAGGAAAAGUUAAACCUUCAAAAUUGGAUGAUUGAAUAUGGUUAGGGCCCCAUCAAAAAAAGAAUACGGGUGGGGACAAAAAGACAACACGGGUGGAUGAUUGAAUAUGGUAAAGGCCCAUUGGUUAGUUCAGGGAGAGUUUAUAUAUAUAUAUAUAUUUUUUUUUUAACUGUAGUUCAGGGAAAAGUUAAACCUUCAAAAAAUGGAUGGAUGGAUGAUUGAAUAUGGUUGGGGCCCCAUCAAAAAAAGAAUACGGGUGGGAACAUUAACAUAGGUGCGUUUGCAUGUGAUUAUAAGCUCAGUUGGGGGAGUUGCAAGUAACAAUCUAAGAUUUUGUCCUGUGAUUGACGUGGGAGGGGAUUACGUGGAGAAACGAGUGAUGGUAACAUGUUUGGGACACCCUUUUUUGUCAAUUUUGUACCCCACAUACGUGGCUUUUUCUUAUUUGGGUGUCGUUUUCGCCUUGUGACGAGCGAGUAAGGUGUCUCUACUCAAUAGGAAAAAGUCUCACUUUUGAACAAGCGGUUCAAAAAUUUUAAUGGAGUGACAGAUAAUGAGAUAAAGAAGAAUAUAAAAGAUGAUUGACCCUCCAAAACUCCAUGUGAAUUUGCUAAAAAGAUAACAUUAACUAAAGGUUUGCAUACAUUCGUGGGAACUCCACUUUGAAAUUUUGAAUGAAAUAUGUGGUGCAUGAUUAUAAAGAUUUAUGUGAAUGGAGGUAAAUUAACCAAAAAUAAUUGGUCUAAGAUUUAUUUAAUUUAUGUCGUCAAAUUUAUAAGAUGACUUGAGGUCGCUAAAUACACACACACUCACACACACAUCCGUAUAAAUAGAUAGAUUAGACGUUUUCAGGUGUGUCGGUGGCAAUCAUAAAAUUCUGACUAUAAUACCUGACGAUAAAUAAAAGGCCAAAAAACUUGACGCACGAUAAAACAAUAUAAACUCUUCAUCUUUUAUUAUUAAAAAGGUUUCAACUUUAAACUAAUGUUGUCUUUUUUUAAAAAUAAAAAAAAAAUCACAGCCGUUGCAUUUAGAGUAUUCGGGAUAAGGGCCGCCCUCAUUGUUUUUUUUUGUCUUAAACAUAGAAUCAACGUUUAAUAUAAGGGGGGGUGAUGAUUUCACGCACAGCUAUGUAGCUAAUUGAUAAAAACGAUGGUUACCUUUUUUUUUUUUUUUUUUUUUUUUUUCNNNNNNNNNNNNNNNNNNNNNNNNNNNNNNNNNNNNNNNNNNNNNNNNNNNNNNNNNNNNNNNNNNNNNNNNNNNNNNNNNNNNNNNNNNNNNNNNNNNNNNNNNNNNNNNNNNNNNNNNNNNNNNNNNNNNNNNNNNNNNNNNNNNNNNNNNNNNNNNNNNNNNNNNNNNNNNNNNNNNNNNNNNNNNNNNNNNNNNNNNNNNNNNNNNNNNNNNNNNNNNNNNNNNNNNNNNNNNNNNNNNNNNNNNNNNNNNNNNNNNNNNNNNNNNNNNNNNNNNNNNNNNNNNNNNNNNNNNNNNNNNNNNNNNNNNNNNNNNNNNNNNNNNNNNNNNNNNNNNNNNNNNNNNNNNNNNNNNNNNNNNNNNNNNNNNNNNNNNNNNNNNNNNNNNNNNNNNNNNNNNNNNNNNNNNNNNNNNNNNNNNNNNNNNNNNNNNNNNNNNNNNNNNNNNNNUUUUUUUUUUUUUUUUUUUUUUUUUUUUAACCUUCUCUUUAUUCGACAACGCAUCAAAAUGUUGUAAAGUUGGGAGAAUUGAUCAUAAUGAGACAACGAAUAGGAUGCUACCGCAUUAACCUUCUCUUUAAUUUGAUUAUUCUUGAACGUUCUGAUAUUAAUUUAUCAUUUAAGGGUGUGUUUGGUAUAUUAUAUUGUAUUAUAUUAAUACUAAUAUAUUGUAUUAUAUUAGCAUCAUAUUAUAACAAUACUGUAUAAUAUUUAGUGCUACACUGUACUAUAUUAAUUUUUUUAUGAUUAACUUAAAUUAUAUAUUUACAAAAUAAUAUUUAUUAGUACCUAGAAAAAUACAAAAUCUAGAAGUCUUAAAUUUUAAAAAUUUAGCAUUAUUUUUUAGUUUAAAUAUUAAAAAAUAAAUUUUCUAUAAAGAUUGAAGUUUAUAGCCUUAUAAUCGACAACAUGACAUUUAUUUUUUGGUAUUUUCUAAAUAUAUAACAUGUGAAAUAAAGAUCAAAGUAAAUAAUUUAAUCAAAUAAUCUCUAAAUAAUAUCAUAACGUAAUGAUAUUUUAUACUGCUGUACCGUACAUCCGCCUUGGCCGUACAGCAGAUCAUCGCAUCAUUAGCAGCGCAAUUAUCCAUAAUCACAAUUGACACUUUCCUAUCAAUAUUUUAAUCCAUCAAACAAUCAUACAAAACAUUACAUACUUAGUACUAAAUUAAUGUAAACAGUAUUUUAAUACCCUGUAAUCUAUGUACCAAACACCUUAAUUUCAUAAUCUUUUUAUUGGAAAAAUAUUAUAGGCCCCACCAUCACGCAUUGAUAAAAUUUGACUAAACAUGCAUUAAAAAGCAGAAAAAAGAUGGGGGGCUUCAUCAAUAAGCUUAAUAGUUCUUGUUUUGAUAAUUGAAACUACAAUCAAAAGUUUAUCAUCAUCACCUUGCCCUUUUCUUUCUGUAUCCUCCAAUUAUAGUUUGUUUACAAAAGGAUUAUAAAAUGGACGAAUAUUCUCACUAUAGCCAAGAUAUGUUUAUUAAUGCUUUUAUUUUUAUUUAUUUAUUCUUUAUAAUUUGACGUGUAUAGAAGCAUAUUUAUCACUUGCAAAUAUUGCUAUAAUUAUCAAGUAAUAUUCCAAUAUUUUAAUUUGAUUAAACUUUUGAGGAAAAAGAUAAACAAUUCAAGAAUUUUACGAACAAACCCCUAUAAAAAUCCAAAACUUACAAAUUUAAAUCUAUGUCGGUAUGUCCAGAUAUCAUCAUCCACUGUGAAUCUGUGAUACUACAGACAGCAAAUCAAUUAUUUUAAGAAAGCCCCAUGUGUAAAAUGCUCUUUUUUAGAAUCUGUCUCGUUCCUAUACCCAAAAAGAAAGAAAAAAAAUUGGUAGCAAAUCAAUUGAAAUAAUCCUCACCCAUUUAUGCAUUAAAAUACUUAAUAAUGCUGCAAGCUGUCCUUUAAAUUUUCCAACUCAUAGUGUCUAGUAUUAUAUACACUUCCUUAAUGGUAAAGAUAUUCUAAUUUUCUUAUAACCCACUUUCCAAUUAAUAUUCAUUGCGCUAUCUCUCCGUAAUUAUACAUAGUUUGUGUUUGAAUUGAUACAUAUUCAUCAUUGACGUCCAUAUGUAAUGUGUUAGUCAACCAUAUGUCUUAUACAUAAGAAUUAUACUAAGACUUUUCAAGUAAUAUUUUGAUCCCCAGAGUUGAUGCGACAAUCAUUAAUUAAAUAAUUAAUUUUAUAAUUUAUAAAAUUACUUAAUUUAUAUUCCAUCUCAUCACCCAAAUGGGAUGAAUGUGACCACACUUACCAUUGUAAAAUUGAAAUACUAUUUUAAAAGUGUAAUAUCAGUCUCAUUUGAGCUAUAAAUUAUGAAUCUCAACUAAAUAAUUAUAGUAUAUAAUGACAAGUCUAACUAGAAACAAUAAAGUCAAAUGAGGUCAAGUUAUAUCAUGUGCACGAUCACACACCUAUCAACUAUUUUGAUGGAUUGAAGCUGGAAAAAAUUGACAAGAAUUACCGGAUAACCUUAUCAAGAAGUGAUCAAAAUUUCAUGCCUUAAGCAAUUAAGAUGAUAUAUAAUAGAAAUCAUAUAUCGAAAGAAAUAAUGUUUGGUUAUGACAAUGAUAUCCAUAACUUUCAACAUCCAAUUUAUAUAAAUCAAUAUUAUUUUCAAUAAAACAAACUCCGACCACAUAAAAAUUAAACUAACUUAUUUCUCCGAAAAUAAUAAACAAACAAAUCAAUAAUUCACAAACGAACCACAAUAGGAUCCAAAAAUUACAAAUUUAAACCUAAAUCAUAUAAUAUCUCUAAUUAGACCCCAACAAAUAUAAUACCCGAAACCAAACCCAACACAAGAGAAACUCCCAACAACCCCAAACUCAAAGGAGUAGACACUGCUGAUGACGUCUGCGACCCCGACGUCUGCGACCCCGACGGCGACGGCGGUGGCGUCCCACCAGCCGGAUUACUUGAGUUCGACGGCGCCAAUGAUGGCGCAUUACCAGGUGACGAUGGAACCGCCGGCGGUGACGUGGAAGGGGAGGUUCCCGGCGGGGGAGAUACUCCUGUUGGAGCAUUAGCCGCAGGUGGCUGCGAUGACGGUGACGUGGAGGGGGAAGUUCCCGGAGCCGGUGACAGCCCAGUUGGAGCAUUAGCCGCAGGUGGUUGCGAUGACGGUGACGUGGAGGGGGAAGUUCCCGGAGCCGGUGACAGCCCAGUUGGAGCAUUAGCCGCAGGUGAUUGGGAUGAUGAUGGUGACGUAGAAGGUGAAGUUGCCGGCACCGGAGAGUACCCUUUUGGAGGAUAAGGCGAAGGCGCAUGAGAUGAUGGUGACGUGGAAGGUGAAGUCGCCGGCACUGGAGAGUAUCCUUUUGGAGGAUAAGGCGAAGACGUGGAAGGUGAAGUUGCCGGCGUCGGAGAGGACCCUUUAGGAGGAUUAGCCGAAGGUGCAUGAGAUGUUGGUGAGGUGGAGGGGGAAGUCGCCGGCGGCUGUGUGGCCGGAGAAGGAGACUUAGGAGACGGGGCAUGCGGUGGAGGUUUCGUGGUGGGGGGUCCAGUUGAGGGAG
rnacentral:lncRNA from 1 species